rnacentral:lncRNA from 1 species
UCCAAUCCUCUGUCAACACAUGAUCAAGCUCUCCAAAUAGUAGGUUCUAGAACUCCCCAGAAUGAACCUAGUAAAGCCAGUGAAACCAAACACCCAAGUCAAGUCCAGUCAAGCUCUUUAUUCUGUACUGGAGAGGAAUUCGGAACCACCCAAGAAAUAUCAUCUCCCAUCCUAAAUAUCAAGAUUACCCUUGUAGAUCAAGUGUGUGCCACCCCACCCACUUCCCUCCCUGCUCUCAGAAGAAGAUUCUAGAUUGCUUCAGUGCCUCUUUACUUAAUCCCUCUCACUCACAUUCAACUUCACCAAGCUCAGAUCUGAGAGGAAAAACAGAGUGAAGGGUAGAAGUGUAGUGUGUGUGUCUGAUUAGCAAUGGCGGGAGGGGGAGGGGGAGAGGGAGAGGGAGGCCCAGCAAAAGAGAGCAUUUUUGUGAGUGUUUCGAACAAGAUAGAUGAAGCUUACAAUUGGGUGAAAGCCAAACUGAAUUCACUCUUCAAGCUCUUCUCUGAGUCCAUCACUGAAGCUCUUCUGGGGCUCAGAUCUUUUGUCACAUCUUGCUGUGAAAAACUCAGGGAAGUGCUUUCAGGGAUCAACACCCAGCUGGACAACUUGUCUGGGAAGAAAAUGGUGGUUGGGAUGGUUCCUGAGGAGAGUUGUCUUCAGGGUGAGAUGAAGAUGCUGGUUCAGAAGAUGAGGGCGUCGGUGGAACAAUGGUCGGGGGUUGGGAACAGCCCUGAAAUGAAGGCUGCACACCUGACAUCGAAUUGGUUUCUUGAUUUGGUUGAAGGGUUCAUUGAGUUGUUGGAGUAUGCCUACAAGCAGCCUUUGACCCUCAUACCUGUUCUUCUUGAAGGCUAUUUUAUAUACCGAAGCAGUUACAAGAAGGCUGGUGGAGUGAGGAGAGCUAUGAGGGGUCAAGGGAAAGCUGCCAUGACCAUUUUUACUCUAAUAAAUUUGAUUGUAUCAUCAACUAUCCUCUUCUAGUUUAGGGUGAGGUUUAUGUAGGGUUCAUGUGAAGCUGAGCUUUUGUUAGGAUGUCUGAAGUUGUCCCUUCCUGUGUUGUGUCAUGUGUGUUGAUGACUGUAAAAAUUACUACUAUAUUAUAAUAAAUUGUAAUACAUCUCUGAUGUCUUUUCAUAUUGAUCUGGAUGGACUGAGUUGUGUUCUUAUUGCCAUUUGUGUCUCAAGUGGCUUGUUGAGUUGAGAUCAAAUUGGUGAUCAAUUUGGGUUGAGGAAUGGGGAUCUCACAUGGUAAUGAAAAGAAAAAGUUGAAAGGGGGGGGGNNNNNNNNNNNNNNNNNNNNNNNNNNNNNNNNNNNNNNNNNNNNNNNNNNNNNNNNNNNNNNNNNNNNNNNNNNNNNNNNNNNNNUGGGGGGGGGGGGAGGGGGAAAAGUGAAAAACUUAACUUAAAAGCUUUACUUUCAAUCAUUUUGCAUAUUGGUACCAUUAUUUUUUAAAAUAUUUUCUAAAAAAAUAAGUGAAAUCAAUUGAAAAUAAUUAAAAUAUGUUAAAAAAAAAAAAUCACAUUUCUGUAAUAAUUUUCGAAAAUGAUUGAUAAUCAGAUGUGUUUUCAUAUUUUUUUGCUUCUUAAAAAUACAAAAGUAUUCUAAAAUUAGUUGCAUUUUUUAUUUUUUAUCCUAAAUGAUUUGAAGCUAUAGGGUUAAAUAUUGAACAAGCUCGAACUUAAGACCUCGGUUUAUUGUUGAAGGGCACUACUACUGAGUUAGAUUCCAAAACCAAUAUAAGGCUCUUCGAAUUCUAAAUUCCACCCUUUUGAUGUUUUCAUUUUCUUUUUAACCCUUGAUCAAUCUUCAAUGAUCUUAAUUAAAAGUGCCAAAAUCGAAAACCUAAACCCUAAUAAACUAAUGGGCCUAAUUUGAACUCAUGAAUAAUGACAUGAUAAUAACACAACCAACACAAUUUAGAAUCGUUAUAAAUUGUAACUUUAAUCUCUAUUUAUUCCAUUGUAUACAAAGUCUAGAAUCGUUACACAAAACCUAAUCCAAUUAUGUAUGACCAAUCACAAUUUACCUCAUGGACCUCCAAAACAUAUUGGAUUUUUGUGGUGUUAAAGAUGAACCCCACAUUGUACCAUAAGAUGAACCCAAUGGGAGGAUUAGCUUCAUCACACUCACUGCAUACUUGUGCUCACUAUGCAUUAUCAAUAGUGUAACUAGCUAAAUUCACGACAAUUUGAUUCGAUGAGAUUAUUACUUUUCAGAUUGUUUUUCUUGUCUCUCAAAAACUUUGGACUUUAGUGUCUAAUAGAAAAUUAUUUUUUAAAACAAUUUUCCAUAUAUCUUUAAAGACAAAAAAAAAAAAAAAAAAAAUUCUAAAUUAAAAUACACAACAAUCAAACUUUAAUUGAAACUCGGAUUUUAUUUUUUUUAAGUUCUUAGGUAUAUUGCAUAGAAUAUUCCAAGAAAUAAUUGAAAAUAUAGAAAAUACUUCAAGAACUUUUACAUUAUACAUAAGUAGAUAAUUCCUUGUUUGAGAACUAUUUUAUUAAAUAUUGUUUUUCGAAAAUAUAACGAAAUAGACCCUUAGUAUUAAACAAUUGUGAGUUUAAUACUAUUAUUCAAGCACAUAUUCUUGUUAAUGGAAUAGAUAUAAAAUUAGACAUGUACAUAUACCUUGAACAUCAUGCAUGUUAAUAUGGAACGGUUGUUCUUUAUAUAUCCAAGUCAUGUUAAUAACUACGUCAAGAGGAAUGCAUAUAUUAGAAUUCGCACAUUUAAUCAAGUUUGAUUUCAAUCAAAUUAGGAUUAGUUAAAUAGUUUAGAGAUUAAUUAUAAUUAAUUAGAAUUAAUUUAUUAGUAAGGUAAAAAUUAAUUUUGAUCUAGCAUGUUGAAUAUUUUUCAUUCUUUUUCUAUAAUUGCCCCUCAACCAAACAACCAUACUUUUGAAGUAGGUCAUCCCAGUGUCAAACUAAAGUUAUUGAAGUCACACUAGACUAUACCUUGUUGGGCCAAUCAAACCAUCAAAAUUUCUCUAAUAUUGAGUAACUUUUUAUAAUUUUUGUUUUUCUUUCUUCACUAUUUUUAAGAAUUAUUACAUACUUGAAACUUCUUAUCUUUUAGGACAUUAAGUUUUAAUACCACAUCUUUUUAUUUUUAUUUAUUUAUUUAUUAUUUUUUAAAGUCUUUCUAUCUUUACAAUUAAUAACUAUUUUUUCAUUUCUUGUAGACUCUUAAGUUUCUAGGUACUAACUUUUUUUCACAUCCAUUAUUUUUAAAUUUAUAAAUCAUACAUGUAUAGGUACCGUAUGGUAGAAACAUAAUACUCUUUAUAAAUUAAUAAAUUAUUCAUUUAUUAAUAAAUCAAUAACCACUCUAAGAAAAUAAUUUCCCUCAAUCCCAAGAGUAUUAAUAUUUUAUGGGGGUUUUACCAUAUAUAUUUAUAAUGAAGUUUAGCUUUUGCAUGCUUUUAUGACAAAAAAUAUUAAAAUAAUAAAAUGAUAAAAUAUAAAGCCAGAAAAAUAUGAAUUAAAUAAAUAAUGAACUUUUGUUUCAUUCUUAAUAUAUGAUAUAUCUUCUUUAUAAUUAAAUAUAUAAUUUUAUUAUUUAAUAAAAUAAAAAAUAUUAAUACAUUUACAUUUCAUCUUUGUUAUGAUUUAAUAUAGUAAUAUUAAAGAUAUUUUAAGUUUUUUAAUUAUAUAUAUUAAACUUUCUAUAAUUAUUUUUAAUCUUAAUAAUAUAUAAAUUAUAUAUUCAUGAUGUUAUAUUAUCAUCACGGUUCGUUCACAGUUCCAUCGAUCCAUCCAUUGAAUUGUGACUUUGUAACUUUUUCAAUUCAAUUGUCAUCAUAGUUCCGAAAACAUUAAUUCAAACUCAUCAAGUUAUUAACAAUUUUUUCAAUUCAAUAAUCGAUUUGGUUUUCAAACAUUGGCUCAAACUAAGGGUGACAAUUCGUGCUAACGGGUCAUGUUUGUAUCAUGUCAAAGUUUAAGCAUUAAUUCUACAAUGUAGGUCAACUCAAGCAAGGUAAGAAUAAUAUUUGAGUUAAAAAUAUAAACUCAAAUACAACUUAAUUAUUAAACAUAUAACAAACCAUGUAACCAAUUUAACAAUAAGGCUCUCAUAUUUAGUAAUGUGGUUGAAUUAAGUCUUGUAUAAGUCUAUAUGAUUAAUAUUUCGAUCCGUCAUACUUAUCAUUCGAUUGACCUAUUUAUUUAAAACAAAUUUAAAAUGAAUCAUAUAUAUAAGUUAAACAUAUUAGAAUUAUAUUAGAUUAAUCAACAUGAUUAUUAAAUAUAUCAAUUCAAGUUAAAUUUGCAUUAUUCAUGUUGGCCUAAAAUUAACCUAUCUAUUAAACAAGUUAUACCGUUCGAAUUUGACCCAAUCAUGAUUAUACAUAAUUAUAAUCCAUGAAAAAUGUGUUAAAUUUGAAUCAUGUUGAUGAAUCGUAUCAAGCUUUGUUACCCUUAAUUCAAACUCAUUAAAUUAAAAGUUCAACUAAAGUAUUGAUAGGUAUCUUUUUGACACCAUACAAAAAAUUAUCACCAAUAAAAAAAUGUUACCUAAACAAACAAUUCCUUUGCUUCGUAUAUAUUUUGGGUUUGAUAUUUUUUUUAUCUUUCAUGUAAUCUUAUUACCUUAUACUUAAGUUAUCUUUAUUCAAUAAUCUAUAUUUUCAGUAUACACAUGAAUGAAUAACAAGCUCGAUAGGAGCCCAAUUGAUGCGACAAUAUUUUCUUUCAAGUUAUUUAGAAAAAAAGAAAUAAAAAAUGAAGAGAUCGGAUAUGCCUUUGGAAAGGUAACUGAGCUUGCUGUUUUGUGAAUAUGCCAUUGGUUAUAAUUAAAGAGUCCUUCUGCUGCAUCCAAUCAUGUGGCAAUACUUCCUGCCAUACAAAUGCCCAAACACCCACGUCUAAGUAAAGCAGUCACUCAGUGCAGGAAAAAGCUAGGUGUAAGUUGGGAACUAAACACCCUAGACUAAGCAAAGCACUCAAAUCGUACUGGAAAAGUUUGGGCUUUGUAGAUUACCUUUGUAUCAAGAUUAUCUUUGUAGAUCAAGUGUGUGCCACACCACCCAAUCCCUCCCUGCUCCAGAAAGGAAGAUUCCAGAUUUCUUCCAUGCGUCUUUAUUUAAUCCCCCACAGGACUCAUUCAACUUCAGCAGUGGCCAUCCUCAAAUCUGAGAGGAAAAACAAAGUGAAGGUUAGAAGGGUGGUGUGUGUGUGAUCAGCAAUGGAGAAAGAGGGAGAGGGAGUCCCAGCAAAAGAGAGCAUUUUAGUGACUGUUUUGGACAAGAUAGACGGGGCUUGCACUUGGGUGAAAGAAAAAGUGAAGUCAGUCUUCAGUUUCUUCAGUGGAGCUUUUCGAGGGUUGAGGUCGUUUUUCACCUUUUCUUCUGAAAAACCUGAGGAGGUGCUUUCAGGGAGCAACACCCAGAUAGACAAAUCCUCUGAAAAGAAACCGAUGGUUCAGGUGGCUCCUGAGGAGGGAGAGAAAGUGGAAGUGGUGGUUGAUCAGGACGCUUCUGUCCCAGCAAAAGACAGUUUUUUUGUGCGUGUUUGGAACAAGAUACAUGAAGCUUGGACUUGGGUGAAAGACAAAGUGAAGUCAGUCUCGAAGCUCUUCAUCACUGAGUCCAUCACAGAAGUGCUUUCAGGGAUCAACACCCAGCUAGACAACUUGUCUGGGAAGCCAAGGAAGGUUGGGGAGGUUCCUGAGGAGGGUGGUCUUCUGGAUGAGAUGAACAGGCUGCUUCAGAAGAUGAGGAAGUUGGUGGAUCAAUGGUUGGGGGUUGGGAACAGCCUUGGAAUGAAGGCUGCACGCCUGACAGUGAAUUGGCUUCUUGAUUUGGUUGGAGGGUUCAUUGAGUUGUUGCAGAAAGCCAUUAAGGAGCCUUGGACCCUCAUACCUGCUCUUAUUAAGGGUUUUUUGCUAUUCCUCAAUUUCAAGAAGGUUGAUGGAGUGAUGAGAGAUGUGAGGUGUAAAGAGAAAGCUGACAUGGCCAUUUUUACUCUAAUACAUCUCAUUGUACCAUCAACUAACCGCUUCUAGUUUAGGGUGAGGUUUAUGUAGGGUUUAUGUGAAGUUGAGCUUUUCUUAGGAUGUGUGAAAUUGUUCCUUUCUGUGUUGUGUGUUUCUGCUUGUUUUGAAAAUAAUUGAUAAUGAGAUGUGUUUUCCUAUUUUUUGCUUUUAAAAAAAUGAUUUGAAUAUAUGGGGUUAAAUGUCGAAUGGGCUCGAAAGUAAGACCUUGGUUCAUUUUUGGAGGGCCUUUACUUUUGAGCUAGAUUCUAAAGCCAACAUAAACCUCUUAGAAUUCCAAAUUCUACCCGUUUCAUAUAGACACUCCAUGGUUGUUUCCUUCUUUCAUUUUCUUUUUAACCCUUUUAAACCUUGAUCAAUCUUCAUUGAUCUUAAUUAAAAGUGCCAAAAUCGAAAACCUAAACUCUAACACUAUAACGGACCUAAUUUGAACUCAUGUAUUAUGAUACGGUGAUAAUAACACAAUAACAAUAAUUUAAGAUAAAGUUCAACUUUAAUACUUAUUUAUUCCAUCGCAUACAAAGUCGAGGAUCGUUGCACAAAAUCUAAUCCAAUUAUGUCAUUAUCAAUCACAAUUUACCUCAUGGACCUCUAAAACAUAUUAGAUUUUUGUGGUGUUAAUUAAGAUGAACCCCACCUUGUACCAUAAGAUGAACCCUAUGGGAGGACUAGUUUCAUCACUAUACUUGUGCUUGCUAAGCAUUAUCAAUAGCAUAACUAGAUAACUUAGUAAAUAUGGAUGGUGGCUAGUAUUCAACCAGCUUUUAUUUUUCAUCAGAUGAGAUUAUUACUUUCCAAAUUGUUUUUCCCCAUCUCUCCAAAACUCUAGAUUUUAGUGUCUAAAAGAAAAUUAGUUUUAAAACAAUUUUCUAUAUAUCUUUGAAGGCAAAAAAAAAAAAAAAAAAAACAAUUUUCUAAAUUAAAAUACAAGACAAUCAAACUUUAAUUGAAACUCUGGAUAUUUUUUUAAACAACUUUUUUUUUUUAAUUUUUAGGUAUUUUGUAUAGAAUAUUUUAAGAAGUAAUUGAAAAAUAUAACACAUACUUUAAGAACUUUUAUAUUAUACAUAAGUGGAUAAUUCCUUGACAAAGAAUUUUGCUUGGGAAACAAUUGGAAACUAUUUUAUUAAAAUAUUGUUUUUAGAAAAUAUGGCCAAAUAGACCCAUAGUAUUAAACAAUUGCAAGUUUAAUACUACUAUUCGAGCACAUAUUCUUGUUUAUGGAAUAAAUAUAAAAUUAGAUAUAUACAUAAUGUUUGAAAAAUUGGAAUUUUUCGUCAAAAUAUCAGUGAAAAAUCGGUUAUCAGUGAUGGCCAAAAUGAAAUCGGCCAUCGAUAAUCAGUUGGGCGAAAAAUUUGCAAAAUCAUCGAUAUAUUAGCAGAAAAGCGAAAUAUCAAGGAUAAAAUUGAGAGUGGGACAACAUGCGCAUGGGGGAUAAGGGAUAACGACAUCAAAAGAUCUUGAAUAGAUUCAUAUUUUUAAGAAAAAAAAUGACAAAAACACAUUUGAUUAUCAAUUAUUUUCAAAACAAGUUGUUUAAGAUCUUGGAUCACUUUUCCUCCUCUAAAUCUUUAUAUCCUUCUCCUUUAAGUUGCUUUGAAAUGCAAGUUAAAAAGUAAAAAAAUUCACAAAGUGUUUGAGCUAUAAAUUUAUGGCAUCAUUGUUAGAACUCUGAUUGUCAUUGCAAUGAGUUACUACAAUUUUGUUGAUUGUUGGCUUCAUUUAUACUUCAUUUCCAUUUGAGGAGAUAAAAAAAUAUUACAAAUAGGGAUCAACUAUUAGGGUUAUUGAAGAUAAUCCAGUUUUGACCCGCUUAAUAUCUAAUAAGGUUUUUGGGUUCUCGAUCAUAAGGAGUUGAAUGUGAAUUCAAUUAUGAAAUAUAGUUUUUUGUUUUUGGCCCUUUUAUUUUUUAUUUUUAAUGUAUAUUUAUGCACAAAAAUAGUAUAAUAUUCUUAGUUUUCUUUAUAUCAGAAACAAAAGAUAUAUUAAUUAUGAAGAUUUCAUGAGAAGAACAAGGAAUCCUCCUCACAAAUACCAAAAUCUAAUCAGAAGGCAUAAUGAACUACUCCACCAUAUAAGGAGAUUUAUCUAAAAAAAAUAUAGACCACACACAGAUGUCAUCUCCUCAAGUUCGGGCUACGCUCCUCUCAUUGCUCAUCCAACCCUUUUUGCCUAUAUACAUAUUGCAAAUUGAGAAGAAGACAAUAUUCUUAGUUGAUGGACUGAACCAACCUAGAGAAUCAUCUUGUAAAAUUAACAAAGAAACAGAAGAUGACAUCUCAGAAUUGUAAUGAAAUAUUUGAUACUGCAACUAUAACAAGUAGCUUGAGGAAUAGCUGAAAUUUAUCAGGUGUAGGUCGUGUUUGGAACAAAAGAAUCAGGAAGGAUGCAGUAACCCAGUACCUGGAAGGUGCUUUACAUAAGGAUGUAGAGGAUCGUGAAGGAUACAGCAACCCAGUACCUGAUAGAAGGCGCCUUACACGAGGAUGUUUGGAAUCAUGAAGUUUGUUCAUGCUUGUGGAAAAUCGAGAAAAUCAAGAAGAUGGUUGAAAGUCAAAGGAAGUAGUGGAAAUGCACGCCAAAAGGGAAAAUGGCAGCAAAAGAUUAUUGAAAUCUGGAUUCUAUUGCCUAAAGAAAGUCCGAAGAUGAUUAUUUAAAAUCAGAGUUAUUUGGAUGAAGGUGAUUUUGAAAACAUAAUUCAAAACAUGUAAAAUCACGGGGAAAACAAGAGGGGUGCAGAAGGAAUAGGGUAGUGUGCACCAGAGUGGCCAUGUCGGAAUGAGGUUUGGGGGUCUGGCUUUGACUGCAUUGCUGGUGGUGCUCGAUAUGAUGAGGAAUAUGUCUUAUCUUCCAGGAAUGGGAUUGGGUUGGCGUUAGCAUGGGCCUAGUGAGUUCAUGAAUAUCCCAAAUCACGAUGUACCAUUCGGACUCGGAUUCAUCCCUAUUGAGGCCGAUUAUAGAUAUAUGGCGCAAUUGCGUAAGGAUCGGGUGAUGGCCCGACUGACUCAUACACCAUUUGAUUAUCCUGUUCGCCUAUACACCUUGAGCUUAGCGGAUUACUUCAUGAGGGUGUUGGAGCCAUAGACCCAUUCAAACGGGAUCAUUGGGGGACUCAGCACUACUCAGGAGGCUGAGCUACAAUGCCUCAUCCAUCAGCAACAGUUGAGUGAUGGAGGCCCUGACACUUUGACAUCUGUGUUUAUCACCCUAUCAUCUUGAGAUCGUAUGAGCCUUAUGACGCUCUAUUUCCUGGAUGAGAUCGAUGAGCACGAGACAUUUGUCGAGAUCGAAAAUAUAGUGAACGGAGUUGUGCCACGUGACAAGUACGUUGACGAGAUGCACACUAUGAGUAUUAGCCAGAUUGAGGAGAUAGUUCAGCCUGAGCUUGCUUCACCAUUUGAUCUUUUCAGGGUGUCCGUCAUCGAGAUUGCUAAGGAGAUCCUAACUGCCCCUGCUCUGGAGUCUAUAGAGGAUGUUUUAGAUGUUGAUGAUUUGUUUGAAGACUUUGUUGGCCUAGUUGAGGGAGCGUCCGACUUUGUGGAUCCACCUAUUUCAUUUGAUGUUUUAUCGGGAUUUGUCUCCAUUUCUGACGAUGUUCAUGACUUUUCAUUUAUAGAUUUGAGCAUUUUCGAGCAUUUGCCUGUCUCUUGUGAUAUCACUUUAUCUGCACCCUCUUCACCCACAUCACAGAUAUUUGAUAUAGAUGAUGAGAUUGUACAACAUGAUUCAGAUGAUGACUCAUCUUCUACUUCUGAUUCGAGUCCUGGUGAUAAGAGAGUUUCACCUGCCAGAGGAGAUGUUGAGAUUGUUGAUUUUGGUACAGUAGACCAGUCGAGGGAGUUGAGGAUUGGAUUGGACUUGUCUAUGGAUGAGAUGGAUGGCCUUGCCUGAUUGCUCAUAUCGUAUUUGGAUGUUUUUACAUGAUCCUAUGAGGACAUGCCGGAUCUUGAUUCAUCCAUAGUCCAACAUCACUUGCCACUUCUACCUCAUGUCAGACCUAUUAAGCAGAAGUUGAGGCGAUUGCACCCUUGUUGGAGUUUGCAGGUGAAAAAAUAGAUUCAGAAGCAGCUCAGUGUGGGAUUUUUAUCAAUGGUCAAGUAUCUCGAGUGGCUGGCCAAUGUCGUCCCUAUUCCUAAAAAAGAUGGCAAGGUGAGGGUCUGUGUUGAUUUCCAAGAUCUCAACAAGGCCAGUCCUAAGGAUGAUUUUCCUCUCUCACACAUUGACAUGCUAGUUGACAGUAGGACAGGUCACUUGAUGUUGUCCUUCAUGGAUGGAUUUUUUGGGUACAGUCAAAUUCUGAUGGCUCCAGAGACAUGGAGAAGACGUCCUUCAUUAUCGAGUGGGGUAUUUACUGCUACAGAGUGAUGCCGUUUGGUUUGAAGAAUGCAUGAACUACUUAUCAAAGAGUAAUGACUACUCUAUUCCAUGACAUGAUGCAUCAGGAUGUCGAGUUUAUGUAGACGACAUGAUAGUGAAAUCCUAAGAUAGAGUAGAUCACCUAGCAACUUUGGAGAGAUUUUUUGAGUGGAUCAGGCAGUUCAGAUUGAGACCGAAUCCCAAGAAGUGCACUUUUGGAGUGACUUUUGGGAAGCUCUUGGGAUACAUGGUCAGUGAGAGAGGUAUAGAGGCAGAUCCAGAUAAGACAAGAGUCAUCCUUGACAUGCAUGCACCGAGGACUGAAAGAGAGAUCAGAGGUUCUUGGGUAGGCUUCAGUACAUCAGCAAAUUCAUUGCCAAAUUGACGGACAUCUGUGAGCCCAUUUUUCGACUCUUAAAGAAGAGUCAACCUACUGUUUGGAAUGAUCAGUGCCAACACGCAUUUGAGAUGAUCAAAGAGUACUUGUUGUCACCUCCAGUCUUGGUGCUUCCUACACCGGGCCGUCAUCUACUCCUAAACUUGUCAGUCUUAUAUGUAGUUUUGGGUUGUAUGUUGGCUUAGCUUGACGAUUCGAGUAGGGAGCGAGCUAUUUAUUAUUUGAGUAAGAUGAUGUUAGAUUAUGAGACGAGAUAUGUCAUGAUUGAGCGCUACUGUUUGGCAUUGGUUUGGGUCACUCGUCGACUGAGACAUUACAUGAUUGACUAUUCAGUGCACUUGACAUCUCGUUUAAAUCCUCUUAGAUAUUUGUUUGACAGGCCCACUCUGGUCGGUCGCCUCAUGAGAUGGUUGGUACUUCUAACUGAGUUUGACAUCCAUUAUGUCACUCAGAAGUCCAUCAGAGGGAGCAUUCUUGCAAAUCACCUAGCCUCAUUACCAGUUUCUGAUGGUAGAGCUAUUGAUGAUGAUUUUCCAGACGAGGAUGUUGUUGCUGUGACUAGUCUGUCAAGUUGGCGCAUGUACUUUGAUGGUGCAGCCAACCAUUCUGGAUACAUAAUAGGCAUCUUGUUGAUAUCCUCUCAUGGUGAUCACAUUCAUAGAUCUAUUCGUUUGGCAUUCUCAGAUCGACAUCCUGCCACAAACAAUAUUAUUGAGGAUAAGGCUUGUAUCUUAGGAUUAGAGACAACUCUUGAGCUCGGGAUUAGACAGAUGGAGGUGCUUGGUGACUCCAAUCUAGUGUUGAGACAGAUUUAGUGUGAAUGGAAGACUAGAGAUGUUAAGUUUAGGCCUUACCAUGCAUACUUUGAGCUAUUGAUUGAGAGAUUUGAUGUUUUAAGAUAUACAUAUCUGUCUAGAGUACAGAAUCAAUUUGUUGAUGCCUUAGCUACUCUAGCUUCCAUGAUUGAUAUUCUCGCCAAUGCUAUUAUUCACCCCUUACUAAUUGAGUCGAGAUCUGCUCCUGCCUAUUAUUACUUGAUUGAUGAGGCAAAGUUUGAUGAUGGCUUGCCUUGGUAUCACGGCAUAUACCAGUUUUUGAGACUUGGCACAUAUCCUAAGGCCACCACAACCAAGAAUAAGAGAGCAUUGAGAUAGUUGGCCGCACGAUUCGUGAUUUGUGGCGAGACUUUGUACAAACGAUUAGUUGAUGGGAUGUUACUAUUGUGCCUAGAUCGCGCCAUCGAGUGGGAACGCAUCGUGCAAAAUGCGAGGUCCACAAUUACAAGUAAAGAAAAAAAUUAUAUAUACUUGAAUCUUUUUCAACUUUCUUAACUAUCCUUUACAACAUCAUCAUCUUUUUAAUUGAAGAAUAAAUUUUUUUAAAAAUAUAAGACCCCUUUAGCUAUAUUUUCUUUUACUUAUUUAAAAAAAAAAAUUUAAGUUAAAAAGAACAAAAAAAAAAAAAAAAUAGAAAAACAGUUUUUUUUUAGUAUUUUUUAAAAAUAAGGGUGUUUGGCAAGUUCUUUAUAAAAUUAGUUUUAAAAAAAUUGUUUGGGCAAGUUGUUUUUAAAAAUAUUUUUUAUUUUGAUUUUUUAAAAAUACUAUAAAAUCAAUUUAUAUAAUAUUAAUUAAAUUUAAUUCAAAUUUUAUUAAAAGUGAAAAUAAUUUUGGUAAUUAUAAAUAAAUAGUUUUUUAGUAAAAUAUGAAUUGCAAAAUUAUAAUAAAGUCAUAAAUUAUAUUUUUAUAAAAAAAUACACUAUUUUUUAUAUGUUAUAAAAGUAUGGAUAUUAACAUAUUUGAAAAGCAUAAUUAAUUUUUUUAUUAAAAAUAAACGAUAAUAAUUUAUUUAAAAUCAAAUAAAAUGUAAUCAUUUUAACAUGUAAAUGAGUCAAGUUUAAAUAAUUUAUAAAAAUAUAAUUAUAUAUAGAAAAGAAAUUAUAGACAUUAUGGAUCAAUUUUUAUCCAUAGUUUUUUUGUAUUAAUUGGAUUACUAUUUGAGAUUCAAAUUAAUUUUAAAAAUCUCUAAACUUAUUAAUGAAUCAAAUGUAUUAAGUUUUACUUAAUUUGAAGUUUAUUUGUCUAAAGAAAUAUAUAAGUAAGUCAUUCAAGACCAAAUUUUGUUCAUAAAUUUAUGGUAUUAAGUGGAUCAUUAUUUAAGCUUUUAGUUAUUUUUAGAAAUUAUUAAACUUGUUAAUGAAUCUAAUACAUUAAGUCUUCACUUGAUUUGAAGUUUAUUUACCUAAUGAAAAUUUUGUAAAAAUAUGAUUUCAUACAAAAAAGAAACUAGCCAAAUCAUUAAAAAUAAAUUUUGAUAUAUGAUUUUUUAAUAUUAUUGAGGUGUAUGACUUUUCAGUAAUAAUUAAAUAGUUUUUUGAGUCUCAAAAUAUUUUUAAAAAUUAAUAAAUUUUAUAUAUUAAGUAUAGUUUGAUUUGAAAUUUAUUUGUUUAAUGAAAAUUGUAAAGAAAUUAAAGAAAAUUAAGAAAAACAACAUGGAAUUCAAAGAAAUAUUAUAUUUGAAGAUAGAAAGAAAAGAUAUCAUAUUUAAUUUUAUCCACUUUUUAUACAUAUUUUUAAAUUUUCUCAAUGUUUUUCUUUUGAUUAUAAAAAUUGGUAAAUAUAACUUUUAUUUGUUUUUUAAAAAUUGUUCCAUAUUUCACUUUUUUUUUUUUUUUUUUGUUUUAAAAAGAAUACUAUCAAUUUUUUAAUUUUUUAAUUUUUAAAACUAAAGAACUAUUUUUAAUAAUUAUAUUUUAAUUUAUGAUAUGUAUAUAUAUAAUGUAUGUGUACGUAAAUCUUUCUAGAAUCGGAUUGGUCAUUAAGUCAAAAAAAUUAUUGGAUAAAAGUUGAUUUUUAGAAUUGAUGGUCAAAUUUGUGAUCUCAUAAAUAUAUGAUUUAUAUUUUAUUAAAAUUAAAAUAAUUAAAAAUUUUAAACAUAUUUAAUUAUUUUAUCUUUAAUAUUGAUUGAUGAAGCCAUGAUAAAUAUAAAAUUUAUCAACCCAUUAAUAUUUUCAAUUUUAUUGAAUAGUGGAGAUUUAACCGGUUAACAUGAAAUAAAAUUUAAGUAUUUAAAUACAUUCACAUUUCAGUAACCAUAUACUAGCUCUCAAAUUUAAUUAUUGCUUACAUUGCCUUGUUUCCAUUCCAAUUACGUUUUUGGUCUAAAAAGUGUUUUCGGGAAAAUCACGUAUCAAGUGUAUUUUUUGAAAGUAUUAUAACUAAUUUUUUAAAAUUAUAAACUUUUUCAAAUGAUUUAUCCUUAUUUGAUAAUUGGUUUUUAAAACAGCUUUUCUUUCUUUAGAAUUGAAAAAAAUAAAAAAAAUAUGUUUGAUAACCAUAAAACAGAAAACAAUUUUUUAUUUAUAAAAUAUAAAAAACAAUUUUUUAUUUGUAAAAAAUAGAAAACGGUUUCCUAUUGAGAAAAACAAAAACACGAUAUUUUUAAAGACAAUCUUUUAAUUGUUUUUAAUUGUAUUUACUUGUUUUCUUAGAAUUGUUUUAAAAAAUAAUUAUAUAAAUAUGAAAAAUGAAUAAAAAUAAAAUAUUAUAUAGAAAAAAUAUUUUUAAAACAUGUUUAAAAAUAAAAAUAAAAAGAAGUUAAAAUCAUUUUAAAUUUUCGAACAAACUUUAGUUUUAUAAAAUAUUAGAAAAUGAUUUUUGAAAAAUUGUUUUAAAAAACUGUUUUUUAAAAUUAUUUUCUAAAAUAAUUUUUAAGCCAAUUUCUUAUUUUAUUUUAUUUUUAAAAAUGUUUUUUAAAAUAAUUAUGAAACGGACUCUUAGUUUAAUUUAUAGCUAAUUAGGAUUGGUUUACGAUUAAUUGAAGUGAAUUAAAAUGAUUUAUAACUAGAUUAAAAAUUAAUUUUCUCUCAGGCAUAAACUAACAGCAUCUUCAUCUUUUUUUUGCUUUUGUUUUGUACUCUGGUGGUUUGGCAACCAAGCAACCUUACUUUUGCUGUGAAGUGGUCCAUGUGAAUAAGUUCAUCAUAUACAAGUAUAUUUUUUGUCCCUACUUUUGCUGUGAAGUGGCCCAUGUGAGUGAGUGUUCAUCAUAUACAGAAGCUGCCUACUCGGUAUGCCAUUGGCUUAGAGACCUGUGAGUUUUCCUGCUUCAUCCAAUCCUCUGUCAACACAUGAUCAAGCUCUCCAAAUAGUAGGUUCUAGAACUCCCCAGAAUGAACCUAGUAAAGCCAGUGAAACCAAACACCCAAGUCAAGUUCAGUCAAGCUCUUUAUUCUGUACUGGAAAGGAAUUCGGAACCACCCAAGAAAUAUCAUCUCCCAUCCUAAAUAUCAAGAUUACCCUUGUAGAUCAAGUGUGUGCCACCCCACCCACUUCCCUCCUUGCUCUCAGAAGAAGAUUCUAGAUUGCUUCAGUGCCUCUUUACUUAAUCCCUCUCACUCACAUUCAACUUCACCAAGCUCAGAUCUGAGAGAAAAAACAGAGUGAAGGGUAGAAGUGUAGUGUGUGUGUCUGAUUAGCAAUGGCGGGAGGGGGAGGGGGAGAGGGAGAGGGAGGCCCAGCAAAAGAGAGCAUUUUUGUGAGUGUUUCGAACAAGAUAGAUGAAGCUUACAAUUGGGUGAAAGCCAAACUGAAUUCACUCUUCAAGCUCUUCUCUGAGUCCAUCACUGAAGCUCUUCUGGGGCUCAGAUCCUUUGUCACAUCUUGCUGUGAAAAACUCAGGGAAGUGCUUUCAGGGAUCAACACCCAGCUGGACAACUUGUCUGGGAAGAAAAUGGUGGUUGGGAUGGUUCCUGAGGAGAGUUGUCUUCUGGGUGAGAUGAAGAUGCUGGUUCAGAAGAUGAGGGCGUCGGUGGAACAAUGGUUGGGGGUUGGGAACAGCCUUGAAAUGAAGGCUGCACACCUGACAUCGAAUUGGUUUCUUGAUUUGGUUGAAGGGUUCAUUGAGUUGUUGGAGUAUGCCUAUAAGCAGCCUUUGACCCUCAUACCUGUUCUUGUUGAUGGCUAUUUUAUAUACCAAAGCAGUUACAAGAAGGCUGGUGGAGUGAGGAGAGCUAUGAGGGGUAAAGGGAAAGCUGCCAUGACCAUUUUUACUCUAAUAAAUUUGAUUGUAUCAUCAACUAUCCUCUUCUAGUUUAGGGUGAGGUUUAUGUAGGGUUCAUGUGAAGCUGAGCUUUUGUUAGGAUGUCUGAAGUUGUCCCUUUCUGUGUUGUGUCAUGUGUGUUGAUGACUGUAAAAAUUACUACUAUAUUAUAAUAAAUUGUAAUACAUCUCUGAUGUCUUUUCAUAUUGAUCUGGAUGGACUGAGUUGUGUUCGUAUUGCCAUUUGUGUCUCAAGUGGCUUGUUGAGUUGAGAUCAAAUUGAUGAUCAAUUGGGGUUGAGGAAUGGGGAUCUCACAUGGUAAUGAAAAGAAAAAGUUGGGGGGUGGGGGGUGAAAAACUUAACUUAAAAGCUUUACUUUCAAUCAUUUUGCAUAUUGGUACCAUUAUUUUUUAAAAUAUUUUCUAAAAAAAAUAAGUGAAAUCAAUUGAAAAUAAUUAAAAUAUGUUAAAAAAAAUCACAUUUCUGUAAUAAUUUUCAAAAACCUGUUUUGAAAAUGAUUGAUAAUCAGACGUGUUUUCAUAUUUUUUUGCUUCUUAAAAAUACAAAACUAAUCUAAAAUUAGUUGCAUUUUUUAUUUUUUAUCCUAAAUGAUUUGAAGCUAUGGGGUUAAAUAUUGAACAAGCUCAAACUUAAGACCUCGGUUCAUUGUUGAAGGGCACUAAUAUUGAGCUAGAUUCCAAAACCAAUAUAAGGCUCUUUGAAUUCUAAAUUCCACCCCUUUGAUGUUUUCAUUUCCUUUUUAACCCUUUUAACCCUUGAUCAAUCUUCAAUGAUCUUAAUUAAAAGUGCCAAAAUCGAAAACCUAAACCCUAAUAAACUAACGGGCCUAUUUUGAAUUCAUGAAUAAUGACAUGAUGAUAAUAACACAACAACAAAAAUUUCGAAUAAAGUGUAACUUUAAUCUCUAUUUAUUCUAUCGCAUACAAAGUCUAGAAUCGUUACACAAAAUCUAAUCAAAUUAUGUAUGAUCAAUCACAAUUUACCUCAUGGACCACGGAAACAUAUUGGAUUUUUGAGGUGUUAAAGAUGAACCCCACAUUGUACCAUAAGAUGAACCCAAUGGGGGGAUUAGCUUGAUCACACUCACUACAUACUUGUGCUCACUAUGCAUUAUCAAUAGUGUAACUAGUUAAAUUCACAACAAUUUGAUCUGAUGAGAUUAUUACUUUCCAAAUUGUUUUUCUUGUCUCUCAAAAACUUUGGACUUUAGUGUCUAAUAGAAAAUUAUUUUUUAAAAUAGUUUUCCAUAUAUCUUUAAGGACAAAAAACAAUUUUCUAAAUUAAAAUAUACAACAAUCAAACUUUGAUUGAAACUUAGAAUUUUUUUUUUUAAAGUUCUUAGGUAUUUUGCAUAGAAUAUUCUAAGAAAUAAUUGAAAAUAUAGAAAAUACUUCAAAAACUUUUACAUUAUCAUAAGCAGAUAAUUCCUUGUUUGAGAACUAUUUUAUUAAAUAUUAUUUUUCAAAAAUAUAACCAAAUAGACCCUUAGUAUUAAACAAUUGUGAGUUUAAUACUAUUAUUUGAGCAAAUAUUCUUGUUUAUGGAAUAGAUAUAAAAUUAGACAUAUACAUAUACCUUGAACAUCAUGCAUCUUAAUAUGGAAUGGUUGUUCUUCAUAUAUCCAAGUCAUGUUAAUCAAGUCUGAUUUCAAGCAAAUUAGGAUUAGUUCAUGACUAUAUUUACAUAUAGUUUAGAGAUUAAUUAUAAUUAACUAUAAUUAAUCUAUUAUUAAGGUAAAAAUUAAUUUUGAAUCUUUUUCAUUCUUUUUCUAUAAUUGCCCCUCAACCAAACAACCAUACUUUUGAAGUAGGUCAUGCCAGUGUCAAACUAAAGUUAUUGAAGUCACACUAGACUAUACCUAGUUGGGCCAAUCAAACCAUCAAAAUAUCUCUAAUAUUGAGUAACUUUUUAUAAUAUUUAUUUUUCUUACUUCACUAUUUUUAAGAAUUAUUACAUACUUGAAACUUCUUUAUCUUAUCUUUAGGACAUUAAGUUUUAAUACCACAUUUUUUUUUUUUAAUUUAUUUAUUCAUUAUUUUUAAAGUCUUUCUAUCUUUACAAUUAAUAACUAUUUUUUUAUUUCUUGUAGACUCUUAAGUUACUACGUACUAACUUUUUUUCACAUCCAUUAUUUUUACAUUUAUAAAUCAUACAUGUAUAGGCACCGUUAGUAGAAACAUAAUAUUUUUCAUAAAUUAAUAAAUUAUUCGUUUAUCGAUAAAUUAAUUAAUUAAAUUCAUUAAUAAAUCAAUAACCACUCUAAGAAAAUAAUUUCUCUCGGUCCCAAGAGUAUUAAUAUUUUAUAGGGGUUUUACCAUAUAUAUUUAUAAUGAAGUUUAGAUUUUGCAUGCUUUUAUGACAAAAAAAAUAUUAAAAUAAUAAAAUGAUAAAAUAUAAAGCUAGAAAAAAAUGAAUUAAAUAAAUAAUGAACUUUUGUUUCAUUCUUAAUAUAUGAUAUAUCUUCUUUAUAAUUAAAUAUAUAAUUUUAUUAUUUAAUAAAAUAAAAGAUAUUAAUACAUUUACAUUUCAUCUUUGUUAUAAUUUAAUAUAGUAAUAUUAAAGAUAUUUUAAGUUUUUUAAUUAUAUAGAUUAAACUUUCUAUAAUUAUUUUUAAUCUUAAUAAUAUAUAAAUUAUAUAUUCACGAGGUUAUAUUAUCAUCACGGUUUGCUCACAGCUCCAUCGAUCCAUCCAUUGAAUUGUGACUUUGUAACUUUUUUAAUUCAAUUGUCAUCAUAGUUCAUAAAACAUUAAUUCAAACUCAUCAAGUUAUUAACAACUUUUUCAAUUCAAUAAUCGAUUUGGUUUUCAAACAUUGGCUCAAACUAAGGGUGACAAUUCGUGCUAACGGGUCAUGUUUGUGUCAUGUCAAAGUUUAAGCAUUAAUUCUACAAAGUAGGUCAACUCAAGCAAGGUAUGAAUAAUAUUUGAGUUAAAAAUAUAAACUCAAAUACAACUUAAUUAUCAACAUAUAACAAACCAUGUGACCAAUUUAACAAUAAGGUUCUCAUGUUUAAUAAUGUGGUUGAAUUAAGUCUUGUAUAAGUCUAUAUGAUUAAUAUUUCAAUCCGUCAUACUUAUAAUUCGAUUGACUUAUUUAUUUAAAACAAAUUUAAAAUGAAUCAUAUAUAAGUUAAACACAUUAGAAUUAUAUUAGAUUAAUCAACAUGAUUAUUAAAUAUAUGAAUUCAAGUUAAAUUUGUAUUAUUCAUAUUGGCCUAAAAUUAACCUAUCUAUUAAACAAGUUAUACGUUCGAUAUGAAUUUGACCCAAUCAUGAUUAUACACAAUUAUAAUCCAUGAAAAAUGUGUUAGAUUUAAAUCAUGUUGAUGAAUCGUAUCAAACUUUGUCACCUUUAAUUCAAAUUUAUUAAAUUAAAAGUUCAACUAAAGUAUGACCCCUUACAAAAAAUUAUCACCAAUAAAAAAAUGCCACCUAAACAAACAAUUCCUUUGCUUUGUAUAUAUUUUGGGUUUAAUAUUUUUUAUCUUUCACGUAAUCUUAUUACCUUAUACUUAAGUUAUCUUUAUUCAAUAAUCUAUAUUUUCACUAUCCACAUGAAUGAAUAACAAGCUCGAUAGGAGCCCAAUUGGUGCCACAAUAUUUUCUUUCGAGUUAUUUAGAAAAAAAAAAGAAAUAAAAAAUGAAGAGAUCGGAUAUGCCUUUGGAAAGGUAACUGAGCUUGCUGUUUUGUGAAUAUGCCAUUGGUUAUAAUUAAAGAGUCCUUCUGCUGCAUCCAAUCAUGCGGCAAUACUUCCUGCCAUACAAAUGCCCAAACACCCACGUCUAAGUAAAGCAGUCACUCAGUGCAGGAAAAAGCUAGGUGUAAGUUGGGAACUAAACACCCUAGACUAAGCAAAGCACUCAAAUAGUACUGGAAAAGUUUGGGCUUUGUAGAUUACCUUUGUAUCAAGAUUAUCUUUGUAGAUCAAGUGUGUGCCACACCACCCAAUCCCUCCCUGCUCCAGAAAGGAAGAUUCCAGAUUUCUUCAAUGCGUCUUUAUUUAAUCCCCCACAGGACUCAUUCAACUCCACCAGUGGCCAUCCUCAAAUCUGAGAGGAAAAACAAAGUGAAGGUUAGAAGGGUAGUGUGUGUGUGAUCAGCAAUGGAGAGAGAGGGAGAGGGAGUCUUUACUCAACUCCAGCAGUUUCAAGUCUUUGCUCAGAAGUUCGACUGAUUCAUCUAUUUUCUCACGGUUCACUUCUGGAUUCUUCUGUAGCUUAGUUUCUAUGUUUUCCUGCUCAUCAUGAGCUCCAUCUUUUACCUCUUCAGCAGUCUUAACCAGUUAUCUGCAGCCUGCAUAAGGGAGCUCGCUGAUUGAUGCUCACUUCCAUUAAUCAAAGAUGUAAUUGUGGCAAGAGCGUCAGUUUCUGAUCCUGGAUACUAUUGUAUUCAAACAGAGCUCUCAACUCUAUCCAGCGUUGUUGAUGUCGUCAUUAAAACUGACUUGAUGGCAGCAAGGCUCCAUUAAAGAUGCUUUUCUUGACAUCUCUAGCCCUACUCAGCGCCCCAAGUUGUAGCUCAAAAGGCCCGGGUUCAAAGACCUUACUGCCACUGGCAGCUACUUGGUUCACGGUUCCAAUAGAUUUAGAGUCAUCAGUACCGUUUUUGGUAGUUCCCAAUUUUAUGAAGGAAAUGCCAUCUGGCCAGAGAAAAUCUUGGACCUACAGAAUUCCUUGAGCAACAACUCCCCCUUGACUGAGUAAUUGAAUUUGCCUCAAAAGCCAGUUAUCAAUAGCCAUUUCCAUUAUUGGCUGCAAGGAUUCUCAUUAAACACAAAUGGCUUUCUCCCAAAUUCUGAAUGAAGACCCUUUUCUGAGAAUGGUUUUUCUGCUUUCUCUAGAUCAUUAUCAGUAUGGGAAGAACUAUUCUGUAUUAUAUGGCCAUCAACAUUGCUUGACCCUCCACAAGGACUAGCUUGGGUUGCAUUAAAACCAUUCUGGAUAUCUCCCAUUGUGGCAAGAAGUGGCACCUAAUGAAAAAUCAGAGCCAAAAGGUCCUUGUGCAGUCCGGAAAAUCAGCUUCUUUAUUUGCUUUCAGACCAUAGGAAAGUGACAUCUGGUCGUCUGUCACACCCCAGGACAGAGAUGUUUGAUAGAGCUGAGUUUGCCAUGAGUGAGGAGGUCUCAUUGCUAUAAAACGAUUGGGAACAUCACCAAAUUCAGACUCUGAUGUAUCAAUACUGAGAGAAAGUGCAUUACUAGUCCUUUCUGCUAAAGUGGCUUCCUUAUUUGCAGCAGAACCAGAGGAAGUACAGUCUAGAUCAAAUUCUGUCCUUCUGAAUAUGAGCCUAAUCAUUUGGAUCAAAAUUUCCUUUGAAGCUGCUCGGUUUAUAGGACUUUUGAGAAUAGUGCUAUCAGAUGACGAAUUAUCAACUCAACUGCAUACCGUAUACAGAAUGCCCAUAAACAGUGGUGCCUUUCUACAGGUAAUUAGAUGCUUCAUUAUUUCUACUGAUGAAUACAGUUUGGAAAUGGGACAGCUUCUUAUCCUGAGAAAUACUUCCAGAAAAAGUUCAGGCUCCUGUAAUUAUCUGCUUCUUCACCUCUUCAAACAACCGCAAAGUUAAUUCUUCUACUUUGCCUUCAUUUAAUAUAAAAGCCACUGUAUCAUGUUCAGAAGAAAAAUCCACUGCCACAACAAUCAAUCCAAAGCUAGCACUACCAUCGUCAUUUUCUCUGCUACAUUCGCGAAUAGGCAAGGAUCCACCAAUCUCAUGUUCCAUAUUACUCAAAUCAGUACUCAACUUCACAUUCCCAUCCUCAACAACAGGAACAUCUGAAUCAAAGUUAUGAAUACCACUCUGCCUGGAGACUGCAUUUUAUUGAGUAUUUGAGUAGACUCAGAUGGAGUGGAAAUUGGAACACUGUCUCCAGCUUUUAUAUCUUCUCCAUGAACUCCAAUUGCACAUUUUACAUUUUCAGUUGUAUGUGAUUCCCCAUGCAAUUCAGCUGAAGAAGAUACCACAAGCUUAAUAGAAAUAUCUCCCUAGUGAUGGCCUCCACUUCCAUCACAAUUACCUUCAGAAAGUUUAUUGGUUACCUCAGAUAACAGAGACGUGUCCAAGUGACUGGUUGAAAUCUCACUAUUCAAUUGGUUCCCACUUUCCAACAAAUCAUCCUUUUUCUUCACAAAACUGCUCUUUCCAUACGUCAGCUGCACAUGAGAGUCCAUCUUCUGCGCUAAUAUGGCACAAUUUUCUGCAUUUCUGUUGCUCACCUCAACAGCAUGCCCUAAAAAACUACUCUCACCUUUUGAAGCAAUGGGUGAGUCCCCAUGCAUAUUUCCUGUAAAUUGAUUAACCAUUUCUGUGUCUUUUGACAAGACCAAUUCUUCACAUUUGCUCUCCUGAACAGAUUCCUUUACACCCUCGCUGCAUCCUUCCACAACAUUCAGUUCAGAAUCACCCUUCACGAUUGUACUAGAAGGUCCCUCCACAUUACUAGUACAAGUUUCAAAAGCAUUUCCUUCUCCCCUAGAUUCUUCGGAGUCCAAAUAGAGAGGGUGCUCCAAGUUACCAGCACCACUGUCAACUAAAUUUCCCUCCAGAACUUUAUCAUUCAUUUGCCCCUCCUUGCUCAAAUCAUUGUGCUCCUCUCCAUCCACAUCAUUAUCUUUUGAUAAGGCAUCUCCACUACCAUGACUAAUAUCAUUUAUAUGAUCUGGAGGAGCCUUUUGAUUGUCCAACUCCUCAGCACUUGUCAUGACAUUAUGCAUAGAGGUGAUUAUAUUAUCAACUUGCAUCCCAGAAGCAGAAAAAUCGUCUUGAGUACUGUUAUUCAGGGAUUCAUUAACCAAAGUAUCAAUUUCCCUUUGAUUUGCAUCAUCAUCUUUGCUUUCAAUUAACAUAUUUCCUCAGUGACAGGUAAGUCAGUUGAACUUCUGUAAGCUAAUGAGUCACCUUCAUGAGUUUGUGACGUAUCCUCAAUCUGAGGUAGUUCUUUUCCUGCAUCAUUUAGAACAGAAAAACUUCCCAGAAACUUAUAUGGGCGUAUUGUAGGUCCUGAAUCUAUAACAUUACCCACGUUAGAAAGAUUGCUAUUAUCUGGUUUCAGAUUAUGCUCCAUUUGCUUAGUUAUGCUUCCCAACUCAUCACAGGCACCUGAGUCCUUGACACUAGUUUGACCUGGAAUAAUUUCUUCCUCCCCAACAGAUUUUAAUAGCAUUUCAACAGAUUCUGAGGAUGUGGCCUCAGACCAAACAUUGUUCCGCCUGGAUAUAGAGCAAGAUUCUGCAGCACUUGAACUAAACUCUAUCCCACUACUUCCCCGAGAGAAAUCCUCAAUCCACUGGUUGUCUUCUUCACUUUCAAUGCCAAGAAAAAAACCUCAGUUUCAACCAAACUAUCAAACCUUAGAUGCCCCUGGAGGCUGUCAUCAAAAUCAAACUUAGGAAGAGCAUAUGACCCUAAAACAGGAGGAAAUUUGGCACUCCCUUCACCAGCUAACAGGAGAAAAUCAUUGUCAUCAUAAUCCAUGGGUGUAUCCCAGAAGUAAGUCUAGGACGCUACCUCCAGUUUCUCCAGUUCACUACAAUACCUCGGAAUCAACUAUCCAAUAUUUGAGCUUUCAUCCAUUAACACAAAAAAAAUCCUUAGAAAAUUAGAUAGGUUGUAGUGGAAUUCACGGUGACAUAAAAGUAGAAUCACCAGAAACACCAAACAUACUGAGAUUGCUGCACACUUCAUCCCUCAUAUCAACGCUUCCAUCAUUCCCCAAUGUACACCCAAAUACAAAGACAAAGAUUCGAACACCGUGCAGGAAAAGGAAUAAAGAACAAAUAAAAACGAUGUAAAACUCGGAGAAGGAAAGAGCAGAAGAUGUCGAUCAGUAAACAUAAAUAGCUCCACUUCAAAUAUUAAUCCAUGGGCUAAGAACAGAGGAAAUAAUGCAGAAUAGGAUUUAAACGAAAACUGAGCAUUAUCAAAUUCAGGCAUGGAGUCAUAAAUUUCAGAAAACAUCAAUGACACAUUAAAGAAUCAAAAUCAAAAUAGGGCAAAGAAGUAAACGACCGAUCUCAACAGGACAACUUGUGGCCCUUAACGUCCACACCAAACAGCAAAAACUAAACAUUCAGAAACGACCAAAUGGAGGAAUUGAAUAUGGGUAAGAACACCAAGAGUAACGAGAAGUGUACCUGGACAGUUUUGGCUGCAAUCGCUCCUUUCCCACUCCUGCUGAAGGAAAAUCCCCCUUCUUUUUUAUCCCCCAAGAUCCUUGGCCCUCUGGCAGCUGUCCCCCAUUCAGUGCCUUCUAUGGCAAGCGUGCUUCUUUUUUAAGGAAUUCCAAAUAUAUGGGUGUCUCUGGAUCUCUUUUGCAGCCUGUGUAUAUGGCCUUUCCAAAUGGAUCAAAUGUGGUUUCCUUGACGAUGCCAAGUGGAAAUUUCUUCAAAGAAGCAACCUUCGUCUCUUGCUUGGAAAGUGGAGAUUUCCUCAUUGCAAAAUCCCAUGCAAAAUAGAAAGUAAAGAGUAGAAGAAAAAGAAAAUCAUAUAAUUGAAAAUUAAGAAUUAAAAAUUAAAAUUAUGCAAUUAAAACUAAAAUAUCAAACACAUGCAUAUUUUAAAAAUAAUAAUAAUAAUAAAAUAUAAUUUCAAAUAACCUAAAAAAAAAGAAUCAUUAAUCUUAAGCAAUUUCCUAAAAAUAAAUAAGUGACUAAAACUAACAAAUAAAAAGAAGAAUCAAGCACAUGCAAGUCAUACAAGCCAUGCAAGUUAUGCAACUAUGCAAACCAUGCAGGAAAGUGAGUCAAAAAGUGCCUAAGUGACGUGAACUAAGUGGAAUCUAACCUAAAGUGCACCCAAGUGAAGCUUAACCUAAAUUCGAAAGGCGGCCAAGGUCAGGAUGAGGGGUCAAAUAAAUCCCUCAACUAAAGUCUCCGAGGUGGCUCAAAAAAGGGUAAGUUGUAUGAGUAGCCAUGAGCCACCAAGAGACUAUUAUGAGUACUGAAAGAGCACUUAAAAGACAUGUGCUAAAGGGGACAAAAUAGAGGGUCUACAACUAACGGCUUGGAAGGGGCAAUACCUUUUAAGAAGAAGACUAACUUUGAUCAAAAGUAAGUUAUCAAGUCUUCUAAUUUAUUUUAUAUCCUUGUUUGUCAUUCCUAGGAAAGUCAAUGUAAGACUGGAGAAGAUUCAAAAAGACUUCUUUUAUAGAGAUGGCUGGCUUGAAAAAAAACCACAUUUGGUUAAGUGAGUUGUUGCUUGCUUGGGAAAAAGGAAGGGAGCCUUGGUAUUCAUAAUCUUUUCACUUUAAACAAAGCUUUGAUUGGUAGGUGGAAUUGGAGAUUUGCAAUGGAAAGAGAUUUGUUAUGGAAGCAAAUCAUAAUAGAGAAGUUUGGAGAGGAGGAAGGGGAAAGGGGUGGGGGGGGGGGGGGCGCGGCGGCAGGAUCAAGGUGGGUGAGGGAAGGUUAUGGAGUGGGGGCAUGAAAAGCUAUUAAGAAAGGGUGGGAGGGUAUUAAAAGCAGGUCUUGUUUCAUAGUUAGGAAUGAGAAAAGGAUAAAAUUUUGAAAAGAUAUUUGGUGCGACGAUUUACCCUUGGAAGAAGCCUUCCUAAGUUUAUAGCUUCAAACAAAGAUAGUUGGGUAGCAUACACAUGGGGACAAGUGAGGGAAUGGGGUGAUUUGAGUUCCCACUUUUCUAGGCAGCUCAAUGAUUGUGGUCUUAUGUAGGUGGAGUCAUUCUUUCUAAAGCUCCACGCCUUGUACUUUCCCUAUUUAUCACAUCCCAACACUUCUAACAAAUUGCAAUGGUGAAACCAUCUAGCCCGAGGGCUUUUUCGUUAUCCAACUGAAAAAUGGCAAAAUGUACUUCCUCUUCUGAGAAGGGGCAGUCCAGCCAAGAAACACUCUCUCCUGAUAUGAGAGACCAAUCGAAACCUUUUAUUCUCCAAAAGUCGCCUGGGGGCUUGGAGUAUAGCUUUCUAAAAAGAUGCAUUAUCUUCUUUGAAAUGUGCUAUUAAAUUUUAUGAAAUACACAACCGUGAUAUUCAUUUUCUAGCUAACAUGCAACAUGCUCUUAAAAUGCAGAAUACACACCAUAAAAGAUGUCAGUUCAUACUGCUUGUUGCAUCAUACUAAAAGCAAGUUUCUUAAUCAUUCUCACUUCUCACUCAUGACUACCUCCAUUGUUGGUGUUGUCAACUCGAGUACAUUAAGAAUGUCUAGAAGGUGGAAUGAAACACUGAUAUAUUACUAUUAUGAACCUACUGCCCCCACUUUCAAAGGCCUUGAAGCAACAAGAUAUUUGUUGGUAAAAAUAAUUGGGAGAAAUAUUAUCCUCCUAAUAAUCUUGUAGCUAUUUUAACUGAAAAUUUCCAUUGUUGAAUAGGGAAAGAAGGAUGAAUAUGUCUUAAUGAAUUAAGGCCCAACAAAGGGUUUUGAAAAGAACUUGGGCUUUUAUAUAAAGUUAUGAGCCUAGAGUAGCACUAUAUAAGGCUGCUUUACUUGAAAAGCAAAAGAAUAAUUUCAAAAUGUUGUGCAGAAGAAUGCAAUGAAAAGUAAGGAUGAUGAUGCUAAACAAACAAAAUACUGCCUUUUGAGAAACAGGGGAGGAGAGGCAGUUUAUAAUUUUUCCUUUCUUACCUUUUUCUUAGCAACCAAACAGAUUAUGAAUGGAUCAGAAUAUGAAAUAUUUCGUAAGGUAAUGUCCCUGUUCUCUCACAUGAGGCCUGGGAGGCCCUCAAGAUCGCUAAAGGAACCGAUGCUCAUGUCCGUGGAAGCCACCAAAUGAAAAAAAGUUAAAACAAACAACACAACCAACAACAAAACCGAUUCUCUCACCAUUUCAUCCAAUAAAAACAAUAAAAAAAAAAAAUAAAGAAUGGAAAGAGUAACCUUACCAGUAUCAGUAUCGUUGAUGAGGAGGACAUCAAGAGUGUUCUGGAAAACAACUAUUCUUUACUCUCAUGUGUUUGCGCAAGGCUUUACUAUCUCAAUCUGUUCCUUCUCCAUUGCCAAUUUUCCCAUUCUUGGAAAGAAUCUGAAAGAUUAUUCAAAAAUCAAAAUAAUUGUUUUGGAGAUCAAACCAAGAACAAAUGAAUAUCAUAAAAACAAAAUACCCCCAUUCUAAAUUUUUUUAUUUUUAUUUGUUACAAAAAUCUAUUUAUCAAAACCCUAAUUCACAAAAUAAAUUGAAAAAGAAAAACGCUAAACUCAAAAAUCAAAUUUAGGGAAUCACCCCUCCCAUGCACCCCCAGUUUCAAAAAUCAAAACAAUUGUAUCAAAAAUCAAAAACCCUAUUACAAAUCAAAGGAAAACCUAGACUCAGAAUCGGAAAAACAAAAAAAAAGGUCCAGAAAUCAAAAUAAAUAUUUCAUAAAUAAAACAAAAAAAUCAAUUAAAAAAAUUUGUUUAACAAACUCUAAUUUAGAAAUAAAGUAGGAGAACAAAGAAAGAGACUCAAAAUCAAAAUUAGGGAAAUCUCCUAUUUCAAGAAAGUGCUAAGGAAAAAAGAAAAAUCACAAUUUUGUGUUUGGCUUGGAUGAAAAAUGUGAAAGAAAAUCUAAUAUGAUUAAAAUUGGUAAUUUAAGUUGAAGAAAGAAUAUGGAGAGAUUUUAUCAAGCUUAAAAACAUAUUUUCUUCUUUCCCUGAUACAUCCUAAUACCCAAAAGAAACCCUAACGGAUUCUCCUUAAAUGAGGAAAUGGCCCAGGAUGCUCUGCUUUUGGUGCAGCCUUUUUCACUUCUGGCGUGCCAAAAGCAUUCCAGAACUUGAGAGUCUCAUCUCCUGCAGCAGUUGCCACUGUACGCCCAUCUGGACUCUGCCAAAUGAGUUGAUCAAGAAUAUUAGAACAUAUAAAGAUUUGGUACUCAGAAACAUUCACUAAACUAAGGUCCAUUUUAUUACCUGAGCCAUGAAAAGAACUCUGGAUGUAUGACCAGUAAGCUCAGCAAUCUUCACCAUUGAUGGAUACAUCCAGAGGGUCAUUUGAUUCUGCAUAAAGCCGUGGGAGCUAAGCAACUCACGCUCGUUCUUGUUCCACAGCAGAGCACAAACCUGUGAGCCAGUGUCCACUGAGUUCAAGCAUGCACUAGUGUGGGUGUUCCAAAACUUUAUGCAACCAUCACUCCCACCUCCUCCAGAAGCCAGCAAAUUGCGCUGAAAAGGGCACCAAGCAAGCGCUUUUACUGCAGCAGUGUGAUCCUCAAGCCUGUGAAGCCACUGAGAACGUGAAUGCAUAGAGGCCAUCGACCUAUCCCAGAUGUAGAGUAAAUUGUCAUUUCCUCCACUCGCUAACUGUUGGCCAGAGGUAGACCAUUUCAGUCCACAAACCUCUUGCCGGUGUCCUCUAAAAGUUGCCACAAUGUGCGAGUGCACUCUCACAUCAUUGUUAAUGAUCUGACCAUCCAUUCCCCCAGUUGUAAGGAUGUGGUUUUUCCAAUCUAGAGAACCAACUCGUGAUUGGUGGCCACCUCUCAGAGUCCUCAGCUGCAGAAUUGAUAGAACAUCACCGUAUUAGGAAAUCAUCAACAAAAGACCAUUCCAAAGGUUAAAACAAAGAAAAAUUACAUACCAGUCGAUUAGCUGUAGAAUCCCAUAGCUGAACAUCAGAACUCUUCAAGCCAAUGGCAAUAUAUUGUCCAUCAGCAGCCCAACUCACACUUGUAACAGGGCCAUUCUCAUCAUCAACAGUGACAAGCUCUGAGGCAGAACCAUUUGAAGCAUCCCACAAAUAUACGGUGUUUUGAAGAGCAAGUGCAAGAACAUUGCUGCUACCCCAAUCCAUUAAGUUCAAGCAAAAAUCAUCUAUAAUAUCAGGAGCAUCCAAUGUCCUCUCAGGAGUCUGUCGCAUCCCAUCAAAUCAAAAAACAAUAACAAAAGGACAAAAAAAAAUCAGAUAAAGUAAAGCUUAACAAUCAUAUAUCUGAAACAAGUAGAGAUCGAAUCAGUCAGUAAAUAUCAUAAACUCCAUUUUAUUGACCUAAUCUGAAUUUGUCCAACCUGAGGAAUACGCCGCAGAGGCUUUGAGGGCUUGGAUUGAUGAACAGAAGAAUAGAAUUCAUCUGGUAUCAAUUUUACUGGAGUAGGUGGUUUGUUCUUAAAGGCGAGGAUGCGAGAGCGAUUCAUGUUGAAUGUCUCAGCCAGUAGUUUCAAGUAGGCCUCUUUGGAUUGAGACCUGACAACACUUUGGUUCUCUUUGCCUUUCCCCCUUUCAGUCAACAUGUAAUGGGCAAAGUCGAAGUCCAUUGCUGAUCUGUUUGGAAUGAAUCUGUCCAACUGAAAAGCAACAAAGAACCAUUAAAUCAAAUAUUCAAAACAGAAAUCAUUCUAAUAUGCAUGUUUAGUAGAAAUCAUUCGACAAAAUAAAUAUCAUAAAAACAAAAUGGCCCCAUACAGAAAUCCAUUUUUUUUUCUUACAUUUUCCCAUCUCUGAAGAAAUUCAAAACAGAAAUCAUUCUAAUAUGCAUGUUUAGCAGAAAUCAUUCGACAAAAUAAAUAUCAUAAAAACAAAAUGGCCCCAUGCAGAAAUCCAUUUUUUUUUCUUACAUUUUCCCAUCUCUGAAGAAAUUCAAAACAGAAAUCAUUCUAGUAUGCAUGUUUAGCAGAAAUCAUUCGACAAAAUAAAUAUCAUAAAAACAAAAUGGCCCCAUACAGAAAUCCAUUUUUUUUCUUACAUUUUCCCAUCUUUGAAGAAACUGCACCUGUUGAGGGCAAGAAUUCAAAGACCCUGCAUCCAUAAAAUUUAAUGAGAACCAAAGACCAGACUUAAAAAAAAAAUCAAAACCCUAAAUUGGAGCGAUUUCGCUGAAAUCUAAACGAGAAGCAUUUAAUUAAAAUCAAAUUGUGGAUCAAUGAAAGCGGUUAAGGGUUGGGGAGGGUUUCACCUCUGGAGAGGCGUGCAAGGAGGAGAACCGAAAGGGGGUCAGCCAUCGAUGAUCGAUUGCGGGGAUCGAUUGCAGGGGAGCGAGGGAGAGAGAUUGCGGGGAGCGAUGAGCAGGGCCUGGAAUUUUCCAACGGUAAGUGCGGGAGAGAAAUUGAAAGAAAAGAAAUUGCGGGACUUUGUAACGGUAGCCAGCUUGAAAAGGUAACUCAGGCCAGCUCGCAGCUGCCGCUAAGGCCCGGCCCAGCGGGAUAAAUUGGGUUAGGGCAGGCUUUGGUUCCCCGGCCCAAACCGGUCCGGUUUGCCCCAACCCAUUUCAAGCCUAAAUUUCAGUUUUAAACUCAGCUAACAUCACCUCCACAGGGGCGCCAUCAGUUCGAGGAGAUGAGCCUCCUUUAUAAUAGUCCUCUGCGUAUCAGUGCCAUGCGCACGCAGCUUCAUCUCACGCCAUGACCACUCCUCCGCCUCCACCUUCGCUACUUGACCUCUGCACCUCUGCUCAUCUUCUUCUUCCACACUGUUGUCGAAGACGGUACCCAUAUCCUUACAUUAGGCUUCAUCUCUAUUUCCAUUAAAUGCAAAGAACCCAUUAGUGAAUAAUAAUAUCUUUCAUUUAAAUUAUAUCAUAUAUUUGAUAAAUCAACUUAAUAAUUUAAUUUAAGUUAUUAAAUAAAUUAAGUAUAUUUAACUUAAUGGUAUAAUUUAAAGUUAAAAAGUUAAAAACUAUCUUAAAUAAUAAGUAAAAACAAUUAACUUAUUCUUAAAUACAUAUUUUUAUUUUAUUUUUUUACCCUCAUUUGUCCCGUUUCCUCUAUGAUCUCUUUUUUAACUCCAUAACCUCUAUUAUUACUUGACUUACUUUGCUUUAAUCCUAAUUUAUGAGGAUAAAUAUGUUAAUUUAAUGAUUUUAAAUAAAAUUUAAGUUAAUUUAUCUAAUAACAUUAAUAUAUAAAGUAAGAAUUAAGUAAUAAGUUUUAAGUCAACAUUAAAUAUAAUUUAACUUAAAACCGAUCUAAAUCAUUAAGUAAUAAAUAUUAAAUCAAAUAUCAUUUUAAAUCCACGGUAAAAACUAAAGUUUUCCCUUUAAUGGCAAUUCCAACUUGUCAUUCUAAAUUCACCUACAAGGUUUCUUUUUCUUGUAUGUUCACAUUAAUCCCCUAUCAUCCUGGUGGGAGAUGUUGAUCAGGAAAUUUUAAAAACAUUCUCCUUUAAAUCCUUCUUUUCGUUCCUUGAAGGACUGUCAACCAACUUCUGUCUAACAAAACUUAGUUGGAAGUCAAAAGCCCUUUUUCAAGUGAAAGAUUUUGCUUGGUUUGUGGUUGACAGGAAAAUGAAUUUAAAAUUUGCUUUGACGAGGGACAGCUUACAAAUCCCUCAACUCAAACAGGUAAUUUCUAUGAAAUGGUUGCGGAGACAAUUGAAGAUCUCUUUCUUCAUUGCCUCUCCGCAUAAACUUAUGCUAUAAUAGUUAUUUUUCUGCUAUAAUUGUUUUUAAAUAUACCAUUUGUGUAACAAUUAUUAUCUUACCUAUAUAAAAUAUGGUAAGAGAAUGAGAUUUUUUUUUUUUGUUUGGUUCUUUUGGAUAAUAGAUCUAUUUCUAUGUAAUCAUUACAAUAAUGCUCAAUGUAAUAUAUAUGUGUGUGUCCAUAUAUGUGCAUGUGUUAUAGUGAUUAAUAAUUAUUUAAUCUGAAAUAAUUAUUUUAAGUAUUCCAUUUUUAUACCAUAUAUGCUGUAUAGAAUGUGGCAUUUUGAAAGAAAAAAAAUAUAGUCAUAACUUUAGUUUUUGACAUGAAUACAAUUUUUCUGUAAUAAUUAUCAUAGUAAAUUAGUAAUUAAUGUCAUAAUAAUAAAAGUUACUUCUUUUGAGCACCGGUUAUUCUUAAAUAUAAUAUCAAGAUAGAAUUUCUUAUAUACAAGGGUUUUUUUUUUUUUUUUUUUAAGAAACAAGCCAAUACACACUAUUAUAACCAAUGUUACAAUAAUAAGAUGGUAAAUUUAUGGAUGUCUUACAUAGUAAGUAAUAGUUAUUUUGGAAUAAUAACAAAUCUAAAUUUGGUAUUUAUAUAUCAUAUCUUUGUGAAUCAUUAUGGAGAUGGGUACCUAUGGAAGAAAAAGGUGGACAAAUACUUUUUAAAAUAAUUAAUAUAAUAGCAAAAAGAUAAUAAUUAUUGUAUUGUUUUUGUAUAAUAAUUACUUUAAAAUAGCAUUUGGCUACAAUCUUUUAUGGCAGAAAACAAUGGAUGACUAUUAUAAUUAUUACUCCAAUCUGUAUUACUAUUAAUAGUGGAUGUGAUAUCCAGUAUUUAUAACUAAACAAUAAUUGUUUUUUGAGACUUAUUUCUAGAGAAAAAGAGAAAGUAUCCAGACACUUACUAUUGAGAGAUAAAGAUAGGUUUGGGACAAAGAGUCUUGAAUUGCAUAUUGAUUGUGAGGCUAGAAUUUUCAAAAUAGUACGAAUUCUCAGUCAGUUUCUCUAACUUUUCUUUUCUUUCAUUUUUAUUCUAUUAUAAUUUGUUUAAUAUUAUGAAAAUUUGGGUUUGCAGCCAUGAUAUGUUAAUUUAAGUGUUAGUUGAUUCUCCAUUUGAUUGUUGAAGAGCUUAAGAAAAGAAGAAAAUUAAAGUUUGAAUCAUUAUGUUACGUUAUUUGGUUUAGAUUGAGAAAAAAAUGAAAGGAAUAUGAAAAUUAUUUUGUCAAAAGUUGUAUCUUUUUCCCCCUGCAGUGAAUUGGUAUAUCAGGCUUUUUGGAUAGAAUUUCAUGUGGGUAAUGUGUAUUUUGGUUUGCGCUUCAAAAGUUUGAAGAAUGUAGGGGUUUCCCUUUGUUUUUAGAGUUCUAUUGCUGGGAGUUUUCUCUUUUGUUUAGUUUGUGUAGGAAGGACCUCUCAUCCUUCCCUUGGUUUCUUCUCUUUCUUUUGUACUUUUUCUUUCUCCUGUAUCUUUUCUUCUAUCAAUAUAUUUUCUUCGUUUAUGAUCAAAAAAAAAAAUGUGUAUUUUGGUUUGUUAAAUCAUUCUUGUUAGUUUUGACUUUUGAGUGUGUUUAGUUUUUCUUUAUUUUUGUUAUAAUAUUUGAAAUUGGGAAUCAUGAAAUGCAUGUAGAAUUUCAUGUAGCUAAAAAAAAUUAUUAGAUGGGCUCAAAAUGAAUAGUGAUUUAGGUCUGUUUGGCUGUUGAGUUGUUGGAUUCAUAGAUAAGGAAAAGAAAAUUUAAUCUUUAUCCGUCUAUUUAGCUCCUAUAAAGAAUGAGAGAAAACUCCUUAACAAAGAAAACAAUUUAAAACAAUUUUCUUUCCUUUCAUUCUUUCCAAGAAAUUAUUAAAUGAAAAAUGUUGAUCAAGCCUUCAACAAUUAUUCAACCAUGUAAAGCAUUUUGCUUCCACAGGGUGUAAACAAAAACAAAUUCUCUUGUCGGUUUAUUUUUUCUUUUUAGAGGAAAAAGUCUUUAUCUUCCCAUUUGUCCACAUAGAUAACUAAAGAACUGGAGUUUUAUAGUUUUCUUUUUAUUUUUCCCCUGCAACCUUUUCAUUUUGGUCUGAAAAUCAUUAAUUUAUUGUUUUCAAUGCAGUGGAUUUUGGGGCCACGAACGAUGUUGGUGGUGAGGUGGUGGGGAAUUCUGUUAAUAUGGAGGGUGACCAGCAGGGAAGUUUUGUUGAAGCGAUAGCUCAACAAGGUGAGGAUGAUAAUUUAGAUCAAUAUUCUUCAGGAAUGGAAAUAGUUCUUGGAGAUGAACCUUAUGUGGGUCAGGAGUUUGACUCUGAAGCUGCAGCUUACGCUUUUUAUAAGGCAUAUGCAAAGUGGGUAGGUUUCAUCAUUCGUGCAAGCAGGCUUUCUAGAUUGAAGGAUCAUAGAUCUGAAACUCGCAGGAUGCUGGUUUGUACUAGGGAGGGUUUUAGAUUGUGUGACAAGCAUGAAAGUGCUCUAGAAAACAAGGAAGAGAGAAAGGCUGGUUGCAAGGCAAAACUUGUAAUGAAGAAAAUGAUUUCUGGUAAAUGGGUUGUCCAGAAAUUUAUCAAGGAACACAAUCACACUAUGGCUCCUAUUAAGGGUCAAAGAGAUUUGAUCUAUGAUCAAUAUCUGGUAAGUUUUAUCUCCUCCAUUAUUUAAAUCAUGUUCAUUAAUAUAAAAUCUUCAGCUUAAAUUGUAAAAGAAAUCAUUAUGGAAUUUCAGAGAACCACAUAAACCUUUGAAAAGGAAAUUAUUUUUCCUUAGUGUUAACUUCAUUCUAAAAAUUUUAAUGAAGGAUUUAAUAGCUCAUAAGUUCUAUUUCCAAACAUUAGGAGAAAAAGUUGCAAGAGUUUUUCUUGGUCUCAAGUUAUCUAUGUUGGACUGUGCGUGCAACUGUGCAUGCGUAUGCAUAGUUGUGCAUUCAUGUUUGAACACCUAUGUACUAGUGGGUGCAUAUUUGUUAAUAUUUUGUGAUGUUUAUGAUAGAUGUGCUAUAACUGCCUUGGUAAUGUUGCUAUUCUACAAAUAAAUAAAUAAAUAAUAAAAUAUAAAAAAAAAAAUGUGAAAAGUUGAUUUUGCACUGAUGAUUAUACUUGAAAGGGCACCAUAGGCUCAACACCCUAACCCUGAGGGGUAGCUCAGUUGGUCCGGCCUUGGGUUUGCUCCCCAAUGGUCACCAGUUUGAGUCCCCUCAAGGCCACUGGAGGUUUACCCGGUUGUUAACUUUAGGGCCCCGUGGGAUUAGUCGAGGUGCGCGUAAGCUGACCCGGACAUCCACGAUUAUCAAAAAAAAAAAAAAAACCAUAGGUUCAACACCUUAAUAUAGGUAAUAACUAAAUGGGCAGUAUCCACUAGACAUGUAAGUUGUGAUCACUUGAGAGUAUUUAUUUAUUUCUGUUUGUUAUAAUUAGUUUCAUAUUGCACUGUUUAUUGUCCUUGAAGAUGCUCUUUAGGCUUAACAUUGUAAUGAUGUCACUUAUGUCGGCCAAGUUGGGAGAAAGCCUUUGGAGUGUCUUAUAUACACACAAUGCACCUUAUUGGUAAGCACAACCCUUGAUUGACUCUUAUGGAUGGAGGUUCAAAAAAGUGGGAAUAAACUGUAUGCAUGUCAAAACCAUUUUAGCUAUUUUGAGAAGAAACGAGCCCACCCAUGUGUAGGAAACAAAUGUUAAGCAGUACAAAAUUUGGAUCCCUAUGAAGAUUUAAUUUUCCAUUUAGAAUAGAUGAUUGAAAAUGACUCCAAUAUCUAACCUUAUUUUGCUGAUUAAUUUGAUUAAUUUUGUUGAUUAAUUUGAUUAAUUUUGUUGAUUAAUUUCCAUUCUUUUCAUACUAAUUUGUUUUUAUUUUUCAUGGUACAAACUAAACAGUCUUCCAAGCUACUACUAAAGACUGUCUUUUACUGCAUGGGAUUACUAAAAACAUAUACUCUCCAAUAGGCCGGACCCAAUAUUGUGGUUAGAUGGUCACAUCAUUGCCCAUGAAAAGAUAUUUCCUAGGGGCUUCCUUGAUUUUUCAUAAUACAGUUGAUUUUUAGUUGGUGAUAUCACUUAAUAGACCAAGUUGUUCUCUAAUUUUAUUUUGCUACCAAAUAACAUAUAGAUUUGGGAAAUCUCCUUGGUUGGCACUGGUCAAAUAAAAACAUAUAGACUGCACUGUCACGACUUUGAAACAUGUUUUGAAGUAAGACAUCUAGCUUUUGUUACCACGUCAUAUUGAUCCAUUCUUCCCAUCCUCCCUCUCAUUCUCUGUUUGCCCUUUAUUUCCUUAUCUCUAAAAAAAGAUCUGAAAUAUACACUUGCCUUCUGUUGAAGCCUUGCGUCCUCGGGAUCCUCACGGUUGCCAAAUGGACGCUUGCCUUCAACCGAGGAUGGUUCCUGCCUUAGUUAACCCUGCAAAAGAUGUCCGGACAGGAUGUCCGGACACACCCUCCGACGAUUUUAUCAGUCAUUGCUCUGAUGAUCAAUCUGCUCUUUUUCCUGAGUCAGAAAACUUACCUCCUCUUUGGGCGAGGGCCCUUUUUUAUAGUGUCAGAAGUUCUGCCCUUCUUUAAUGGUGGGAUGACUUUUUGGCUUAAGAGUGUCGUGUGCCCCCCUGGGGGAUUCGGGUAGAGAGCUGGCGUGCCAUGUGUCACAUAGGGGAAUGCUGCGCGGGGUUGCCACGUGGGCGUCUGAGGGGUUCCCUACACCUUCUACUUUAGUGGGGCCAUUAGAUGUUCAUGAAAUUUGAAUUGCCAUCUUUUUUUUUUCAUGUGAUGCUGAAUCCACUGUUUUAUGAUAUUUUAAUUUAGGAUACGACAAUAUUUCCAAUGUUUAUUGUUGUUCUUGUUGAUGAAUCCAUUGCCUUAUCAUUUGAAAGAAUCUAUUAAUUAUAGAUUGCUUAGGCUCUUUGUACGUGUAAAACUAAGUUGAAAACUUGAAAGGGACUAAAUCUGAUCAACAUAUUGUUGUGUUAUGAUUGAGUGAUUGCCUUGCCUUGAAUUGUUGUAAAGAACUAAGAGACGUUAUUUCAUGAAAAUCUUAAAAUGUUGGUAAAAAAAUUAGAGUUGUUUCAUGAACACCUAAGUGCAACAUGGACCUGUUUUUUCAACGGUUAGAAGAACAAAUGCACGUUUUAAUCCUUAUUAGAUUUAAUGGAAUGAUUUCAUUUUCAUCGGACUUCCACAUUUGAUGUUGGUAUUUCAACCUUUUUUUGUUCAUUGCAACUUACCUUCUUUUAUGCUUUUGCUUUUGUAGGAUGAACAUGAAAAGAUAAGGGAACUAACCCAGUCACUGGCCUUUGAGAAGAGACGAGCAGCAACAUAUAAAAGGUAUCUGACAAUGGUUAUUGGUUAUGUUGAGGAGUAUAAUGAGAGGAUGUCGAAGACGAUGAACAAAGCCACUGAGAAUGUGGGAGAGAUUGAAGUCAAAGAACAGGAAAAUCAUUAGAUAGUUUCAAUACAAUUUGAAGAAGAUUUGUUUUUUUUAAUAUAUAAAUACAACCCGGAAAUGGUAUGCAGAAUGCUGUUAUAAGUUUGUUUGUUGUUGUUGUUGUUUUUUUUUUUGCAAAAGCAAAUUGUGAUUGUGAUGUUGGCAUAAAUUUGUUCUAAUCUUCAUUCUAGUUGUGGCGGUUAUACUACAUUUGUUGUCCAAAGAGCUUGUUGUAGAUUCUCUAUUUUGUUGUAGUAGCAAAUGCUUUUUUACGUGUUUUCCUCCGCUCAUCGUUACCUUGUAUCCGUCCCAACAGUGGUCCAUUGCUACUCAUUUGAUACUAUUUUGUCCUACCUCAUCUAAGGCAAAGCAUUAAACUUCUUGUCCUUUAUAUGGGACACACCUUUGAGAGUGAUUUUCUACAUUUCUCUCCACUUUUCUUUCACCUUAUGUACAUAUAUAUGUAUCAACAUAUCUGCUCCAAAGGUAAUUCUAUGAACCUUAAUUUGGGUUUGUUAACAUUAGAGUUUGCAUAUUUUUAUUAAUGUUUAUUUUCUUUAUCUAAAUUAUGUUAUAUAUAGACAUGACAUACAAUCCAAUUAUUAUAUGUUUUUAUGAUUAGAUAGAUAGAAUUGUUUAUUUGAUUACUACUAUCAAUACCAUUCCAAUGGCGAUCUUCACUUGUUUCCUAUAUCAAAGCUAUGGAUAAAAGAAGUCACCAUCAAAUAGCCCACCCCGCUAAAGUACCAAUGGUAUGCUCUUCUGACAAAAAGAAAUUGGUUUGCGCCUAAAUUGAAGUGAUGAGAUUAGUGGUUGAUCUUUAGUAAGCUUCUUAUGCAUGAGUGUCAUAAACAAGAUAUUUUUUAGUUUGGUCCAUCAACAUUUGGUUACUUUUUUUAGUAAGUAUUGAAACACGUCAUAAGUAAUGUAAUAUCACAUAUAUAUUUUUAAAUCUCAUUAUUUGUAUUUUAAUUAUAUUUAUUUGUAAUUUUAUAUAUAUACAUAUAGAGAGAGAGUUAUAUAUUUGAUUACUAAUAUCAAUACCAUUCCAAUGGUGAACUUCACUUGUUUCCUAGAUUAAAGCAGUGGAUGAAAGAAGUCACUAUCAAAUAGCCUACCCUGCUAUAGUACCAAUGGUGUGCUCUUCUACCAAAAAAAAAAAAUAGUUUGCACCUAAAUUGAAGUGAUGAGAUUAGUAGUCAAUCUCUAGUAGACUUCUUAUGCACUAUUAUCAAAAAUAAUAUAUUUUUGAGUUCACUCCAUUGACGUUUGGUUACUUUUUUUUAUAAAGAUCGAAACAUGUCAUGAGUAAUAUGAUGUCACAUAUAUUUUAAAUUUCAUUAUUUGCAUUCUAAUAGUAUUUAUUUAUACUUUUUUACUUUAAUCGUAUUUACUUGUAUUCUUAUUUACGCACCAUACAUAUUCAAUGAUCUGGAUUUGGAUUUCCAUAGGUAUCAGUAUGGCACCUUAGCAAUUUUUUUUUUAAGUUAAACUUAUAACUUAUAUUUUCUCGUUAAAAAGUCACAUAAAUGAUUGUUUAACUACAAAAACUAGAUUGGUAAAUAUUUUUUGAAGAGAUGUCUUUCCAUUGUUUUUUUCUUUAAAAGCACUAUUUUGCCCUUAAACUUUUAUUUAUUUAUUUAAAUUUAGUUAUAUAUUUUUUAAAAUUUUUAUGAAAGCGUUUUUAAAAUGCAUUUUUUGGUACCUAAAAAAUAAUAGCACGGGAAGAGUGAGUAUACCCUUUCUAUUGAGAGGUGAAAGUCAAAACCCAAAAGCGAUCCCUUCUCCCUCUUAAACCCUAGCUGUCACCAGCCCUGAAACCACAAGCUGCUUACUCCGCUCCGGCGAACCAACACAGCAUCUGGCUCCAAAGCCCUCCGUAGAGGUACUCUGUCUUCGCAGCCUCUCCGUCUCUCUCUCUCUCUUUGUUUUUGUUUUAUCGGCUCCCAAAAAUUUAAACUGUUAAUGGGUAAGAUGCGGCUAUUAUCAGAACCCUAGGUUUAGACAGAUGAACAAACCUUCAUUUUUUUUCCCUUAAUUUUUGAAUUGGGGGAAAUUAGAAUUUGGUUGGCUUGCUUGACAUUUGGAUUUCUCAUCACACUCUGUUCUUCCACGAGAUUUUUUUUUUUUGAAAUUUUUUUUAUUAGUGGCCUCCAGAAAUUAGCUGAUCCAAGGUAUUUAUAAGGCUCAUUGCUUUCUCACCUUGUAGCUGAAAGUCUUUCACCUCCCUAUCAGCAACUAAUAAUUGAAAAUUUGGGAUAUGCAUGAAAUAUAAUCAUCUAUACGAAAACCUAUACAAGUAAUUAAUAUCAGCAUGAAAAAUAAUGCCAUCCUUAGUGUAUUUAAUUGUGUAGUCAAAUUUCUUUUGUUUACCGAAAUCAUUGCCAAAAUAAUUUUAAUUCAGUUAAAUUACUGGGAAUAUAUCUCAAGCAAAAGAAACCCAGUUUCUCCUUCCCUUUUUUUUUUUUUUUUUUUUUUCUUUCCCCCACUUUUCUCUGCAACCAAACAGUUAAUCUUGCUGAUUUGUAUAUUUUCAAUGUAAAUCUGUGCUAGUUUUAUGUAAUUAUUUUACUAUUUUGUCGAAUUCUAUUGUUCAUAGUUGAUGGAGAUUCUACUAUUAAUUUGCUGCAGUUUUGGGUUUAUUGUGUUUGAAUGUUAAUGCGUGAUUUAUAGUGGGCAGGAAAUUUAUCAGUUUUUAAUCAAAGUUUGAGAAUAUUGCAUUUUUUUUUUUUGGAUUGCUUUUGUAGCUUAGAAUGAUUAUCUGUUUGAUAAAUAGUUUAGCUUUUCCUAAUGAUGCUUAUCUUUUCAAUAGAGUGAUCUCAGAAAGGGAUUGAUAAUUGAAGCAAUUCACAAGAUUGUGGAGCAAAAUCAGCAGACACAGCUAUCUAAUAGAAGACUAAAGAAGGAAAUUCCAAAUGAAUCAACCAGUCCAGAAGAAUACCCUCUAUGUUGGUAAGCAACUGAAAAUCCUGAUUAAUCAAUCCACAUUUACUCAUAUAUGAAUGAUGAUGAUGAUGGUGGACGACACAAAACAGGGGGGCUAGCAGAGGAGGUGAAUGAGUCGAUACUGCAUUCGGCAUUCAUACCUUUCGGGGACAUAAAGGAUGUGAAGCAUAGAUCCUUUGGGUUCGUGACCUUCCUGGAGAAGGAAGAUGCAGCUGCUCUCAUGGACAACAUGGAUGGUGCUGAGCUCUAUGGUCGAGUCCUCACUGUUAAUUAUGCCCUUCCUGAACGUAUCAAGGGUGGCGAACAGGGUUGGGCUGCUCGACCCAGUAAGUUUUUCCUCACUCCUUCAAACCCAACUUAGUUCUUUCUAUUUUUUCUUCCAAACUUAUGCUUUUAGUUUCCUUUUGGUGCAUAUAGUAUUUGUUUCUCUUUUGGGUAAUUUUCUUUUAUUAUCAUCUGUGAUUAAUUAGAAUUAGAAGGGCCUUUUGGACAAGAUGAAAUGAGUUUGUCUGUAUAUUAGUACAGAAAUCAGUAUAAUGCUGGUGAAGGUUUAAUGCUGUAGACUAAUUUGUAGAGGUUAAUUAUCUGAGAAUAAGAGGUGCAAUGUUCCAGGAGAAUAUUCUGAAGUCCUAGUGGUGUUGGGUUACUUAGGGUUUAGUCUAUUAUCUAACUCAAAUUAAGGUUCAGCUCUAGGCUUCAAUAUAACCUAUCAAAAGAAAAAGCUCUAAGCUUCAAUAUAACAUGUAAACUGCUAAUAUAUUUCAAACAACCUGUUGGGGCCAACUCCCUGUUAUCAAAAUACAUGUAUAUUGGAACUCAACCAAAGAGGCAUAUGGAUGUUAUUGAGCGCAUAUGUUUGGUUCAUGGAAUAAUCAAUGCUGCUCAAUAGGUCCUGCUAAUAACUAAUUAGGAACAUGCCCCCCAUAAAAAGAAACAAAGCUCUGUAUUGCUGUGACUUCAAUAUGGCGUUGUGCAUGGUACUCCGUUUUUCACUUGGUUAUGGGGUCUUCAAGCUGUUUACUCUAGUCAAUACUUGUAAUAUACUCCUUUUGACUCUGAUCUAAAAUAAAAAAAAAUAUAUACUCCUUUUGACGAGCCAUCCUUGAGGUGGUUGUAAAAUCAGUUGGAUAGAGUACUCUUUCUAUCUUUCGUGCUGAUUAAUCAUGCCAAGUAGAUGGAGCACCCUUUCUAUUUUUAGAGACCUACAACUCUUACUUGCAUCUAGUGGCCCUCAGACAUGUAGAUGAAUAGCGAAAAACAAUGUGGCUGAUUUGAUGCUAUAUAUAAUUUUCUGUCAAGGCUCUUGCUCUGCAUUUAUUUCGUUACUCAUUGAAACCCAAUUCCUAAUUAUUUUCAAGAAAAAGAAUCAACUUUCCCAGUAUUCAAGAGGACCCCUUCAAAAAUGAAACUAGUAAGAAAUGAUACAUUAAAUAUUGGAGAUUAUGUUUCUUAACCUUUUCGCCUAUACUGGACAUUUUUUUUUGUAUACUUCAUGUGUACUGUGUAUGCAUCCCCUUUGGUGCUUUUAUUAUAUGUUCUCUUUUGCCUAUAAAAAAAAUUAAAAAAAUGGGAGACUAUCAAGGACUUUUAAAAGAGUAAAUCUUCUGAUGAGUGGUGACCACUGGCUGGACUGAUACUAAUACAAACCUUAGCUCUAUUUACUUGAUGUACAUAAUUGGGCUAUAAGCCAUGGAAUUAGAUUCUGCUUAAUCACCAUUUUCGGAUUUGGGAUAAUCUUCUUUCUCUGACUAGCAGUUUGAGGAUUAACCUUGUGCAUGUGGGAUUGAUAUGCAUGUGGUUUUCUGUUUUGCAGUUUGGGCUGAUGCUGACACAUGGUUCGAACGACAACAACAAGAAGAGGAAAUGCAGCGCAUUCAAGCUGAGAAUCGGGCUGCAAUGCAGGCAGCCGAGGAGUUACACAGAAAGAAAAUGGCACAGGAACGGGAAGGGGAGAAGGACGAAGAAGUAGAGGGCAAGGAUGAUCCCAUGGCAAGGGUGGAAGCAUACAAGAGAAAAAUGAACAACAGUGAGAUUUUGAGAGAAUAGGGAAUACGGAAGAAACUUACCCAAUAACUAUUUCCAAAUAAACUUCUCUUGUCCCCGGCAAACUUGAAAAUUUUCAUCCUUGUGCUUAUGGAAGAUAGGGAAUGUAAAAACGAGAAUAAGAAAAUUACCUCUUAAGGCACAAUGUUGUUGAACGGACAUAAAAAUAUUUUCACACGAAACUAAAUAAAUGAGUAAUAGACAACGAAACAACCAGAUCACAAGAAAACAAAGAAAUCAACAUAAUGAAAAAUAAUUUUGCUAGUACAGAUAUACAGCAAAAUUAUUUUUCAUUAUGUUGAUUUUUUUGUUUUCUUGUGAUCUUGUUGUUUCAUUGUCUAUUACUCAUUUAUUUGGUUUCGUGUGAAAAUACUUUCAUUUUCGUUCAACAACGUUGUACCUUAGGAGGUAAUUUUCUUAUUCUCGUUUUUACAUUCCCUAUCUUCCAUAAGCGCAAUGGUGGAAUUUUUCAGGUUUGCCAAGACAAGAGAAGUUUAUUUGGAAAUAGUUGUUGGAUAAGUUUCUUCCGUAUUCCCUUUUCUCUCAAAAUCUCACAAUUGUUCAUUUUUCUCUUAGAGGGCAAGGAUGACACAUGGUUCUUUAUCUUUUAUGAUAUUAAGUUUUAAUAUCACAUCUUUUUAUUUUUAUUUAUUUAUUAUUUUUUAAAGUCUUUCUAUCUUUACAAUUAAUAACUAUUUUUUUUAUUUCUUGUAGACUCUUAAGUUUCUACGUACUAACUUGUUUUCACAUCCAUUAUUUUUAAAUUUAUAAAUCAUACAUGUAUAGGUACCGUAUGGUAGAAACAUAAUACCCUUUAUAAAUUAAUAAAUUAUUCGUUUAUUGAUAAAUUAAUUAAUUAUUCAUUUAUUAAUAAAUCAAUAACCACUCUAAGAAAAUAAUUUCUCCAUGUCCCAAGAGUAUUAAUAUUUUAUAGGAGUUUUACCAUAUAUAUUUAUAAUGAAGUUUAGCUUUUGCAUGCUUUUAUGACAAAAAAUAUUAAAAUAAUAAAAUGAUAAGAUAUAAAGCCAGAAAAAUAUGAAUUAAAUAAAUAAUGAACUUUUGUUUCAUUCUUAUAUAUCUUCUUUAUAAUUAAAUAUAUAAUUUUAUUAUUUAAUAAAAUAUAAGAUAUUAAUCCAUUUACAUUUCAUCUUUGUUAUAAUUUAAUAUAGUAAUAUUAAAGAUAUUUUAAGUUUUUUAAUUAUAUAUAUUAAACUUUCUAUAAUUAUUUUUAAUCUUAAUAAUAUAUAAAUUAUAUAUUCACGAGGUUAUAUUAUCAUCAUGGUUUGCUCAGAGCUCUAUCGAUCCAUCCAUUGAAUUGUGACUUUGUAACUUUUUCAAUUCAAUUGUCAUCAUAGUUCAUAAAAUAUUAAUUCAAACUCAUCAAGUUAUUAACAACUUUUUCAAUUCAAUAAUCGAUUUGGUUUUCAAACAUUAGUUCAAACUAAGGGUGACAAUUCGUGCUAACGGGUCAUGUUUGUGUCAUGUCAAAGUUUAAGCAUUAAUUCUACAAAAUAGGUCAACUCAAGCAAGGUACGAAUAAUAUUUGAGUUAAAAAUACAAACUCAAAUACAAUUUAAUUAUUAAACAUAUAACAAACCAUGUGACCAAUUUAACAAUAAGGUUCUCAUGUUUAAUAAUGUGGUUGAAUUAAGUCUUAUAUAAGUCUAUAUGAUUAAUAUUUCAAUCCGUCUUACUUAUAAUUCGAUUGACCUAUUUAUUUAAAACAUUUAAAAUGAAUCAUAUAUAAGUUAAACAUAUUAGAAUUAUAUUAGAUUAAUCAACAUGAUUAUUAAAUAUAUGAAUUCAAGUUAAAUUUGUAUUAUUCAUAUUGGCCUAAAAUUAACCUAUCUAUUAAACAAGUUAUACGUUCGAUAUGAAUUUGACCCAAUCAUGAUUAUACACAAUUAUAAUUCAUGAAAAAUGUGUUAGAUUUGAAUCAUGUUGAUGAAUCGUAUCAAAUUUUGCCACCUUUAAUUCAAACUUAUUAAAUUAAAAGUUCAACUAAAGUAUCGAUGGGUAUCUUUUUGACACCAUACAAAAAUUAUCACCAAUAAAAAAAUGCCACCUAAACAAACAAUUCCUUUGCUUCGUAUAUAUUUUGGGUUUGAUAUUUUUUUAUCAUUCAUGUAAUCUUAUUACCUUAUACUUAAGUUAUCUUUAUUCAAUAAUCUAUAUUUUCAGUAUACACAUGAAUGAAUAACAAGCUCGAUAGGAGGCCAAUUGGUGCCACAAUAUUUUCUUUCAAGUUAUUUAGAAAAAAAGAAAAAAAAAAUGAAGAGAUCGGAUAUGCCUUUGGAAAAGGUAACUGAGCUUGCUGUUUUGUGAAUAUGCCAUUGGUUAUAAUUAAAGAGUCCUUCUGCUGCAUCCAAUCAUGUGGCAAUACUUCCUGCCAUACAAAUGCCCAAACACCCACGUCUAAGUAAAGCAGUCACUCAGUGCAGGAAAAAGCUAGGUGUAAGUUGGGAACUAAACACCCUAGACUAAGCAAAGCACUCAAAUCGUACUGGAAAAGUUUGGGCUUUGUAGAUUACCUUUGUAUCAAGAUUAUCUUUGUAGAUCAAGUGUGUGCCACACCACCCAAUCCCUCCCUGCUCCAGAAAGGAAGAUUCCAGAUUUCUUCAAUGCGUCUUUAUUUAAUCCCCCACAGGACUCAUUCAACUCCACCAGUGGCCAUCCUCAAAUCUGAGAGGAAAAACAAAGUGAAGGUUAGAUGGGUAGUGUGUGUGUGAUCAGCAAUGGAGAGAGAGGGAGAGGGAGUCCCAGCAAAAGAGAGCAUUUUAGUGACUGUUAUGGACAAGAUAGACGGGGCUUGCACUUGGGUGAAAGAAAAAGUGAAGUCAAUCUUCAGUUUCUUCAGUGGAGCUUUUCGAGGGUUGAGGUCGUUUUUCACCUUUUCUUCUGAAAAACCUGAGGAAGUGCUUUCAGGGAGCAACACCCAGAUAGACAAAUCCUCUGAAAAGAAACCGAUGGUUCAGGUGGCUCCUGAGGAGGGAGAGAAAGUGGAAGUGGUGGUUGAUCAGGACGCUUCUGUCCCAGCAAAAGACAGUUUUUUUGUGCGUGUUUGGAACAAGAUACAUGAAGCUUGGACUUGGGUGAAAGACAAAGUGAAGUCAGUCUCGAAGCUCUUCAUCACUGAGUCCAUCACAGAAGUGCUUUCAGGGAUCAACACCCAGCUAGACAACUUGUCUGGGAAGCCAAGGAAGGUUGGGGAGGUUCCUGAGGAGGGUGGUCUUCUGGAUGAGAUGAACAGGCUGCUUCAGAAGAUGAGGAAGUUGGUGGAUCAAUGGUUGGGGGUUGGGAACAGCCUUGGAAUGAAGGCUGCACGCCUGACAGUGAAUUGGCUUCUUGAUUUGGUUGGAGGGUUCAUUGAGUUGUUGCAGAAAGCCAUUAAGGAGCCUUGGACCCUCAUACCUGCUCUUAUUAAGGGUUUUUUGCUAUUCCUCAAUUUCAAGAAGGUUGGUGGAGUGAUGAGAGAUGUGAGGUGUAAAGAGAAAGCUGACAUGGCCAUUUUUACUCUAAUAAAUCUCAUUGUACCAUCAACUAACCGCUUCAAGUUAGGGUGAGGUUUAUGAAGGGUUUAUGUGAAGUUGAGCUUUUCUUAGGAUGUGUGAAAUUGUUCCUUUCUGUGUUGUGUGUUGCUGAUGGGGUGUUUUUACAGAAAUGUGUCUUCCCCAAAUGGGAUCUUACACUGUAAAAACUACUACUAUAUUAUAAUCUCUAUUGUCUUUUCAUAUUGAUCUAGAUCGAUUGAGUUGUGUUCCUAUUGCCAUUUGUGUCUCAAGUGGCUUGUUGAGAUCAAAUUGAUGAUCGAUUUGGGCUGAGGAAGGAAUGUAGAUCUUAGAUCUCACUUGGUUAUGAAAAUAAAAUAUAGGGGGGGAAAAGUGAAAUGAGUUGAAAAUAAUUAAAAUAUGUUA